CCGGAGUCCACGGUGCCCGAGCAGCAGCAAUCGGCGCUGGAGAAGCCUUGAGUCGAGGGAGGCGUCUGCCUCUGCACUGCAUGCAGCCAGCGCUGUCGUCAAGGUUACUUACCUGUCGAAGUACUUACGUGCCUCAUGGCCAUUAGCUUUGCCGCGAAAUGCACAUGGGAUGCUUUUCUUGCCCGACAUUUUCUUCUUUUUGUGUACAUUCCACGAUCUAUCACUGUUAGAUCGAUCUACAUAAUACUCCAGCUCAGCUCGCUGAUCCGGUUAAGUGAUACUAGUGGGUAGUGGCUAGAGCCAGGAAUCAAUCAACUAACUAAUGGAAAGAUGAGCCUCCUUUUGCCUCGUGUGAUUGUUAAUACUUCGCUAUUUUGUCCAUCAUUAGCUUAGAUAAAUUUUCAUUCUGAGAGAGCAGGGAACCCUGCUGUUUUUUCUCAUUCUCUAUUCUUUUCGAGAUUGAAAGUGCUGAAUUGUCAGCUUUCAGGGUGUCCGUGUGUGUGCGUGCAGCAAAAGUUUGGCAGAGCGAGUGAAUCUUCGACCGUUUGUCAUUUACCCCCAUUAUUGCUGCCCAUAUAUGUAGCUACAGUGCCCUGGACUCACCUACUUCUUUCUACGUUCACAUACUGCCAAAUUGCCAGCAGCAAAGUUACCCAAAAACACAAGUCUAGUCACGUUCCCUCAGAAAAGCUCAUGUACAUCAACUGUACUUUUUAUCACAUAAAAAUGUACUCCUACGUGAAAGAACAAGUCGAUUAGGCACGCACGUACGUGCUGAAGAUUUGCCAGCAAGAUGUGGUGAUGCUAAUAAUUGGCGAGGAAAAAAAAAGCAGGUGGCGAUCCAUGAUGGAUGCGAUGGCACAGUGAAAUCUACUAUCUACUACUACUACUGCUGAUGAUGCUGCUACAUAUAGAGCACUGUAGCAUGCAUCAGUCAGGCAGGUCAUGGGCGCCGGCUGGACUAGAGAACUCAAGUCGUACUACGUGCUACCGCUGCUGGUCUACUCCUACUAGCUACACAAACACAUUAUAAGAGAAAGAAUGAGAGAUCGUGGAUGGACAUGGUGUGAUGCACUACUGUGCAAUUCGCUGGUGAGAGAACUCCAUCGGAGGUGGAUGCGUGAUGGACGAGUGUGAGUACAACGUACGUGUGGGGAAAGAAAAGACUUGUCGCACGGUAGCGAGGCACGUAUUUGCACGCAUCGCCCCAAGCAAGCCGUAGUACGCACUAGGUGCAAAGCUAGUGCAGGGCACGGAGGGAGGGGAGCAGUUCUACACGAAGGAAACGACCAAUUAUUUAUUUAUUUUUUAUUGAUUGAAGCAGCUACGGUGGGCAAAAGCCCGCCUGAACAUAUUUUCAUUUUCACUUUGAAAGAUAGAGGGCGAUACAAGCACGGCUACAGAAAAGUAGCACCUGACACACAUAAGAAAAACAUGAAAGUACAGAAAGAGAAACAAAAACAAGGAGUAUUUAGGAGAGAAAAACUACCACAUUUCGACCAACCUUGACGAAAAAUUAUCACUUUACAACAUUUUGCCGAAAACUACUACUUUAUGACUAUAUUUGUGCAAAAAACUAACAUUUUAGAAAAGUGGCCGAUUCGGCUCGUUUAAACCCAUUUAUGACUGGGUUGCUCCAUCUGUCAAGUGACAAGGCGGCAGACGCGUGACUGCGGGCACAAUCACAAAUAUCAUGAGUGAAUCGCCGCAUUCAACUUAGAACUAUGCAGUACUGCUACUUGUGAUCCGCGUUAAUAAAUUCAUCGAAGAGGAGGGGAUAAUGCAGCACAACAGCGGUAUGUAUUUCCCUCAGUUAUGAAACCAAGGUUAUCAAUGCAAUAGGAGAACCAAGAAACACUGUCAACAGCACAUACACACAAACAAUAAAACCUCGCAACCCAACGCGUAGAGGGGUUGUCAAUCCCUCCACGGUAAGAUAAAUAGAUAGAUGCAAAAUAAAAUAAAAGCAAAUAAAAUGCAACAAAGUGUUUUUGGAUUUUUGGCAAAACAGAUAUGAAAAUAUAUGAUAGAAAAAUAGGAAAAUAGACCCGGGGGCCGUAGGUUUCACUAGUGGCUUCUCUCGAGAAAAUAGCAUACGGUGGGUAACCAAAUUAUUGUUGGGCAUUUGAUAGAAGAGCAAAUAAUUAUGACGAUAUCCAAGACAGUGAUCAUGUAUAUAGGCAUCACGUCCAAGAUUAGUAGACCAACUCCUACUUGUAUCUACUACUAUUACUCCACACAUCGACCGCUAUCCUGCAUGCAUCUAGUGUAUUAAGUUCAUGGAGAAACGGAGUAAUGCAUUAAGAACGAUGACAUGGUGUAGACAAGAUCCAUUCAUGUAGUAAUAGACCCCAUCUUGUUAUCCUUAAUAGGAACGAUACAUUCGUGUCAUGUCUCUUUCUGUCACUCAGAUUGAGCACCGCAAGAUCGAACCCAUUACAAAGCACCACUUCUCAUUGCAAGAUAAAUUAAUUGCGGUAUUGAAGAUCAAAUGGAGAGAAGAAGCCAUCUAGCUACUAACUACGGACCCGUAGCACUAGUAGAAAACAGGGCAUUGGUUCGGCCCUCGUAAUACCAUUAAUCCCGGUUCACUCACGAACCGGGACCAAAGGAGGCAACUGUCCCGGUUCGUGAGCCCAGGGGGCCGGCCGGGCCACGUGGGCCAUUAGUCCCGGUUCGUCUGGACCUUUUGGUCCCGGUUCCACGCAUGAACCGAGACCAAUGCGCCUCGCCCCUGGCCCAUGACCAUUAGUCCCGGUUUGUGCCACAAACCGGGACUAAAGGGUUGGUCCUCGUUGCGGUCAGAGUGACCUGCCUUGUUGAGCUCCUCUCAAAGUGAAAAUAGAUGCCCCUAUACAGGGAAUUUGACCUAAAUUCAGAGUAAAUUUCUUUGAAAUUCAUAGAAAUUUAUUAUGAAUUUAGGUUGAAUUCUCUCUAUAGGCGCAUCUAUGCUCAUUUUUUUAUGUUGGGGUUGGCGAUCUUUACAUACUUUUUGUGUGUUGAAUAUGCACCAUUCAAAAUCAGUCUCUGCUUUGAAUGGUUCAUUUUGAACACACAAAAAGUCUGGAGUUCAAAUAAGUUCAAGAAAAUGAAAUCCCUUUGUAACAGAUGAGUUUUCCUCCGAAACCCUGAUACUUCGAAAGAGAUUGUCCAUUUUGUUCACGAAGUGCAUCCAGCUUUUGCCGGGACCUCUCAACUUUUUAGCACAUGCUAUGUGGGUGAAAUGACGAUACCAUGCCAACUUUGAACCUUUUAAGUUCAUUUGUAGGGUUUUUCAAUUUCAGGUUCAUUUGAAAUGCUUUUCAAUUUUAGGGUCUUAUAGCUCAAAAUAAUUAGUAAAUGCAUGAAAAAUAACAAAUGAAGUCAGAAAGGAUUGAAAAAUGAUGAUGUGGCUUUGAAUGGUGCAUUUUGAACGCACGAAAAUGAAAUCCCUUUGUAACAGACGAGUUUCCGUAUGAAAUCCUGAUACUUUGAAAGAGAUUGUCCGUUUUGUACACGAAGUGCAUCCCGUUUUUGCCGUAACCCUCUCAACUUUCUUGCACAUGCUAUGUGGAUGAAAUGAUGAUACCAUGCCAACUUUCAACCUUUUCAGAGUUCAUUUGAAAUGCUUUUCAAUUUUAGGGUCUUAUAGCUCAAAAUAAUCAGUAAAUGCAUGAAAAAUGGUGCAUGAAAAAUGACAAAUAAAAUAAAUAAGUAAUUAGAAACAAAAUAAUAUAAACUUUAUUAAAAUAUAUAAGUAGAAACAAAAUAAAAUAAACUUUAAUAAAAUUUAUGAAACUAAAAUUAACAAAGUAUUUUCUAUUCAAAACAUUAUAAGAAACCUCUAGUAUUAUUGAAACUAAAAUUAUAUAAAACUGAUGCAACUAAAAUUAUCGAAGUAUUUUCUGUUCAAAAUCACUAAAAGCUUUCAUAAAGAACUUUUUUUGUUAGAAACUUUAAUAGCAAAAAGAAUUAUCAUAAAGGAAAAUAAAUAAGUAAUUAGAAACAAAAUGAAAUAAAAUAAAUAAGUUUUUUAUUGUAAGUAGAAACAAAACAAAAUAAAUAAAGCAAAAAAUAAAACAAAAAAACAGGUAAAAAAUAAAAAUAUGCCACCUACUGGGCCACCAUGGCGUGAAUACGACUAGAAACCACUCGAUGGGCCAGGAUUCAGGCCCGCAGAAGGCCCAGUAAGCCCAUCAGGCAUAGCAGUGAUAAUUAGGCCCGUAAGCCUGCAAUGGAGAGGAGCUCGAGAGGGGUGCGGCAGUGGGGCUUAUAAACCACUGCGCGCCCCUCUCAACUAGCGAGGUGGGACUAAACUUUCGACGCGGGCGCAGCAGCACAAGNNNNNNNNNNNNNNNNNNNNNNNNNNNNNNNNNNNNNNNNNNNNNNNNNNNNNNNNNNNNNNNNNNNNNNNNNNNNNNNNNNNNNNNAGACGUCGUCCCGCGCCGCCCAGAUGCCGUCGCCGCCCCGCGCCCCCUGCCUCCUCAUCGCCCGUCGCCGCGCCCCUCACCUCCGCCUCCUGCCUCCUCGUCGCCCGUCGCCGCGCCCCUCACCGUCGCCGUCGCCGUCGCCACCCCCUGCCUCCUCGUCGCCUGUGGCCGCGCCCCUCACCGUCGCCCCCGUGCCCUGCCUCCUCGUCGAUCGCCGCCCCCUUAGUGAGCUCAUAUGAAUUUUCCUAAUUUAGAUGUGUAGUUAAUUUAGAUGUGUAGUUUAGAUGUGUAGUUAAUUGAGUUGUUGUAAUUUGUUCAUAAAUGAAUAUGCAAAAGUUAGAAUUUUUUUCUGUUCAUAGAUUUUUUUGUGAUAUUAUUGUUGAAUAUGCAAAUGUUUGUGUGUUCAUAUAUAUGCAAAGAAUAUGUCAAUUUUUUUCAUAAAAUUUUUAUAAUUUUUUCCUGUUGUAAUUUUGUUCAUAGAAUUUUUAUGAUUUUUUUCUGUUGUAAUUUUGUUCAUAGAAUAAGAAGAGAAAGUGUUUAAUAGAAUUAGUUAGAAAAAUAAAUGAACUAGUUAAACUAGUUUAUUUUUAGUAAGUACUACUUUAUUCUAUUUAUAGUAAGUGCUUAGUAGUUGAACUAGUUGAUUUAAUAAAACUAGUUUAUUUUACUAUAGAAGUAGUUUAUUUUUAGCAAGAAAAUUAAUAGAACUAGUUUAUUUUUUUAGUUAAAGCAAUUAUUCCCGCAUCGACGUCGACGAUGCCAAUCCCGCAUCCUCGUCGUCGACUCGGCGGAGGAGGCUGGCUUGAUCAGAGGGGCCAUGUCCGGGACUGGGCUCCACCGGGCUGGUUUUGGGAGGUGCUACCUUCCGGGGGGCGUAGGUUGGUGAGGAGCCAGCCCGUCAUUGACCCGGUCCUUGUUUGGUGGCGGUCGCGUGGGCCAGUGAUGGUGCCGAGGCUUCCGGACACCGCGGAGGUGGUACGUCACCGUGUCAGCGAGGAGGACGAGCACGUCCGUUGCUACAUGGUUGCGUUGGAGUGCAGGUUCGACAAUACCUGGCAGGUUCUUCAGGGAUCUCACUGGAGCUAUGAUCCUGUGAUGGUUCCUUCUCUUUGGGUAUCCACCGCCCGCACCGAUACCCGUCGGGCGCUACGAUUCUAGCUGUACUAGCGAUGCUAUAUGUAUGAUAGUAUUCGAGUUGUAUUAGUGAUAAUAUUCGACGAUGUACGGACGCAUGGAGAUGAUGUAGUUUUGCUUAUAAUUGAAUGCAUCCUAAUUUGAAUACUACUUUAUUUUAUGAUUUGAUUUUGCUUAUUGAAUGCUCAAAUUGGAAAACUACUCCUACUUUGAAUGCUAAAAUUGGAGAGCACUAUGCAAGGCGUAUGCAUAUGAUUAGUUGAUAGCUUAUAGGGUUUUUGUUUUCGCAGAAAUCUAGGAGCCCCCCCAUCAUCCCCGCCGUCGUCCCCGUCACCGACCCCCUCCGACCUCGAGGUGAGACCAGCCACGAACCGGUUUUAGAAAGAUAAUUAAACGAUAUUUCGGGUUGACUUUAAGUCUAUUGAGUCCCCACCAUAUAUGAGAGGACGAAGAAUCCCGACUGUUGUCGUGGGGGUAGCUUCUCCUUCGUUCCCGUGUCCUAGACAAUUUGGUGUAAUGCACUCGGGAACGAAAGGAAGGAGCUACCAUCACCGACGGUCGCAAAUGUCUGAGAGGAAUCAGUGAGGGAGAGUUCCACCAUAUAUAUAUGAGAGGACGAAGAAUCCCGACUGUUGUCGUGGGGUCGCUUCUCCUUCAUUCCCGUGUGCUAGAUAUUUUGGUGUAAUGCACUCCGGGAUGAAAGGAGGAGCGACCAUCACCAACGGUCGAAUGUAUACACCACGUGAGCUGAGAGUUUUCAAGAAAAGACUCGACAAACCGAUAGUCAACCCGUGAUGAAUAAUAAUGAUCUAACUUAGGUUUUUAGUACAUAUAUUUAAUUGUAGAUGUUUAAUAUUUGAAUUAUGAACAUAGGAAAUGUCGUACUCGGACGACGAAAGUCUCCCGGGGGAGUGCGACUGGUGCCACGACGGCCGAGGUCUGUGCGACAGGCCUCACCUGGACGAAGAUCGGCGCUUCAGUAUUAAGCUAGAGGAGACCUUCGAUGUUGAAACGGUACGCAACGACGACAAGUGUUAUUUUUUCGUAAUUAAGCACGACUUCAACUAUUUCAACGUGUACUUUCCAUCUUUUACAAUUCGACUAGCUUAUCCCAUGCCAUGCAAGACGCUACGUCUUGGAGAGGAUGGGUUUUGAAGACCAUGAAAGUAUGGAAACAAAGAAAAUUCACCUAAGGACCCAUCAUGAUAUAGAUUUUGAAGUAAAUCUGUAUAAUUCUGAAAGCGUAACCCGUUUUGGUUGCAAAAAUUGGGAAGCAUUUUGCAAGAUGUAUGGUUUUGAUGAGGGUAUGCUUGUCACCAUGGAUCUUGGUGAUCCUGACAUCGAGCAAGACAAUAUGGACAUUUGGGUCCUUGUUGAUACGCCUCCAAUUCUACCGCUAUGUAAGUUUCUCAAACAUAGUUAUUAGCUAAUUUAUAUUGUUCAUUUCAAAAUAGUUGACAGCUUAUUUUCAUUGACAGCUUAUUUUGAUUGUUCAAACAAUGUGCGGAACAUGGUAGACAGAACCUACUACACCGAUGGCUCUGAGUUAACUUAUAAGGAGAAAACUCAUCUGGUCGGAUUUUGUACUGAUCUUGAGAAUUAAGAUAUCUAUCUUAAAACUCCUCCACAUUAUGGUCAAUACGUGCCACUAGUGCACGUGUUGAACUACGGUAACUACUAUGGAGAUACCCUGGUAAGAUUUCUUACUAUUACGACAUCCGUGUAUCUUUUGCAUACUUCUAAAACUAGUACAUCAUUGCUAACUAUGAAGUUAUUACUAUGUUUUUCAACAGAUAAUCCCAGAGGAUUGUGUGCCUCAUUUGAUGUAUCAGAAUGGUAGCCUUGAUGUUUUGAACAUACAACCAGGUCAUCCUAUGAAUCUCAACUGUCCAUACCGGAUUUCUAAAAGAACUGGAGACAUGAAAAUCAAAGAAUGGAAAAAAUGUAUGGACAGUCGCAAGGAGGUUCUUGGAAGCAAAAGGAAGUGAAGCGCAAAAAUUGGAGACAGGAUGAUCUCCAUUCUCCAUAAUGGAGAGUCGGGGUCUAUAUUGUUUUAUGCUAUUUUACCUUAAAGAGGGUAUUUAGGUCCUACCUAAUACUGAUGAUCAUGUGCUAAGAACAAUUAAGUAGGGUUGGUUCGAUGACUAUGAGGAUGAUGAUCGUAUGACUUGUUAUUAAUAAUGAGUAGAAGUUGUAUGAUGAUGAUUAGUAGGACUUGUUAUUAUGAUGAUGCAUGAUGCGGGCAUGAAGAGUUAUUAUAUAUCAGUGGGUGAAAUGAACAUGGAUUGGAAUGAAGUGAAGGCAACAAGCAUGUGGUGCAUGUCGAAAGUAGUACAAAUCCAAACUUGAUCAAGUUAGGAUUAAUAUUACUUUCGACAUGCACCACAUGUUGCCUUCACUUUAAUCUAAGCCAUGUUUAGGCAUAGCAAUAGCGUUGGUAAAUCAAGCACGGAAAUAAGAGAGGACAGUUCUCUCUGUUAGCUAGCUUACACACCCUAAAUUACCCCCUAAACCCUCCCCCCUUUCAAAAAAACAAAAACCCCAGCCGCUGAAAUGCUGACGCGUGGAUGCCUUUUGGUCCCGGUUGGUGUCACCAACCGGGACCAAAGUCCCUCCUGCCUGGGCUGGCCGCAGCGGCCACGUGGAGGCCCAUCUGUCCCGGUUCGUGUAAGAACCGGGACUAAAGGGCUAGGGCAUUAGUAACGACCCUUUAGUCCCGAUUCAACAACCGGGACAAAAGGCCCUUACCAACCGGAAUAGAUGACCCUUUUUCUACUAGUGUAGGUCUAUGGUAAACUACUCACGCAUCAUCGGAGGAGCACCAAUGAGGAUAAUGAACCCCUCCGUGAUCGUGUUCCUCUUUGGCGGAGUGUCGGAAAAGGCCUCUGUGACGCCCCCGAUUUGACCGUACACUAAUCAUACACGCAAACGUGUACGAUCAAGAUCAGGGACUCACGGGAAGAUAUCACAACACAACUCUAAAAAUAAAAAAUAAGUCAUACAAGCAUCAUAAUACAAGCCAGGGGCCUCGAGGGCUUGAAUACAAGUGCUCUAUCAUAGACGAGUCAGCGGAAGCAAUAAUAUCUGAGUACAGACAUAAGUUAAACAAGUUUGCCUUAAGAAGGCUAGCACAAACUGGGAUACAAAUCGAAAGAGGCGCAUGCCUCCCGCCUGGGAUCCUCCUAAACUACUCCUGGUCGUCGUCAGCGGGCUGCACGUAGUAGUAGGCAGCUCCGGUGUAGUAGGAGUCGUCGUCGGCGGUGGCGUCUGGCUCCUGGGCACCAACAUCUGGUUGCGACAACCAGGUAGAAAGGAAAGGGGGAAAAGAGGGAGAAAAGCAACCGUGAGUACUCAUCCAAAGUACUCACAAGCAAGGAGCUACACUACAUAUGCAUGGGUAUAUGUGUAAAGGGCCAUAUCGGUGGACUGAACUGCAGAAUGCCAGAAUAAGAGGGGGAUAGCUAAUCCUGUCGAAGACUACGCUUCUGGCCACCUCCAUCUUGCAGCAUGUAGAAGAGAGUAGAUGGUAAGUUCACCAAGUAGCAUCGCAUAGCAUAAUCCUACCCGGCGAUCCCCUCCUCGUCGCCCUGUUAGAGAGCGAUCACCGGGUUAUAUCUGGCACUUGUAAGGGUGUGUUUUAUUAAGUAUCCGGUUCUAGUUGUCAUAAGGUCAAGGUACAACUCCGGGUCGUCCUUUUACCGAGGGACACGGCUAUUCGAAUAGAUAAACUUCCCUGCAGGGGUGCACCACAUAACCCAACAUGCUCGAUCCCAUUUGGCCGGACACACUUUCCUGGGUCAUGCCCGGCCUCGGAAGAUCAACACGUCGCAGCCCCACCUAGGCUCAAUAGAGAGGUCAGCACGCCGGUCUAAAUCCUAUGCGCGCAGGGGUCUGGGCCCAUCGCCCAUUGCACACCUGCACGUUGCGUACGUGGCCGGAAGCAGACCUAGCCCCCUUAAUACAAGCGCGAGCUUACGGUCCAAUGCGACGUGCGCCACUCAGUCGCUGACGUCAAGAAGAGCUUCGGCUGAUACCACGACGCCGAGUGCCCAUAACUGUUCCCGCGUAGUUGGUUAGUGCGUAUAGACCAAAUGGCCAGACUCAGAUCAAAUACCAAGAUCUCGUUAAGCGUGUUAAGUAUCCGCGAACGCCGACUAGGGCCAGGCCCACCUCUCUCCUAGGUGGUCUCAACCUGCCCUGUCGCUCCGCCACAAAGUAACAGUCGGGGGCCGUCAGGAACCCAGGCCCACCUCUACCGGGAUGGCCACCUGUCCUUUCAGCCCCCUCAUCAGAAUCACUUGCGGGUACUCAACGAGCCGACCCGACUUUAGUCACCACAUGUGUCAUGUAUAUAAAGUAUAUAGUAUAUACCCGUGAUCACCUCCCGAAGUGAUCACGACCCAGUAGUAUAGCAUGGCAGACGGACAAGAGUGUAGGGCCACUGAUGGAACACUAGCAUCCUAUACUAAGCAGUAGGAUAGCAGGUAAGGGUAACAAUCUGCAGCAACAAUGACAGGCUAUGCAACAGAAUAGGAUUAACAGAAAGCAGUAACAUGCUACACUACUCUAAUGCAAGCUGUAUAGAGAAGAAUAGGCGAUAUCUGGUGAUCAAGGGGGGGGGGGCUUGCCUGGUUGCUUUGGCAAGGAGGGGUCGUCAACAACGUAGUCGGUCGGGGCACCAAUAGCGGCGUCGGUCUCGUAGUCUACCGGAGAGAAGAGGGGGAAGAAACAAUGAAUACAAUGCAAACAGAUGCAUAACGAUGCAUGACAAAGCAAACAGCGGUGUUAGGUGUGCCCUAACGCGGUAAGAGGUGAUACCGGCGAAGGGGGGAACAUCAGGGAAAGUGUCCCCGGUGUUUCGCGUUUUUAGACAGAUGAAUCAGAGGGGGAAAGUUGCGUGUUUGCUAUGCUAUGGAUGUGUGGUGGACAAACGGGCCGCGUAUCCGGAUUCGUCUCGUCGUUCUGAGCAACUUUCAUGUACAAAGUAUUUUCAUCCGAGUUAUGGAUUAUUUUAUAUAAUUUUAUAAAGAAUUAAUCAUUUUUAGAAUUAACAGAAUUAAUUAAAUUAGAAAAUGCAAUUAUGACGUCAGCAUGAUGUCAGCGGUCAGCUUUGACCGUUGACCAGUCAAGCUGACGGGUGGGUCCCUCUGUCAUAGAUUGUUUAUCUAACAAGAUAAUUAAGGUUAAUUACCAGGGUUAAUUAGAUUAAUUAACAGGAUUAAUUAAUUAAUAUUUAGUUAUUUUUUAAUUAUUAUUUUAAAUUCCUUUUUUUAAACGUUCAGGGGCUGGGCCCCUCGUGUCAUUGGCCCUAGGGGUCAUAGUGGGUUCGGGCGCUGGGUGCGGGCAUGGUGCCCGUGCCCGAGACCGAACGGGGCUGGCCCCGGACGCAGCCCGCGGAGUGGGCGCCGACAGCCAGAACGCCGGCCAGUGGGGGGGGCGAGCCGUGGUGGACGGGGCGAGGCCAGGGACGGCGACGGGGCGGCGGUGCCGGAGCUAGUGACAGAGGCUGGCGACGGCGGGCGAGCCGCGGCAAGCAGUGGCGAGGCACGGGGAGCAAGGGCGACGGAGCGUGCAGAGGAGGGCGAGGUCGUGGCGAGGCGGGCAGUCGCCGGUGGGGGACGCCGGGGCCCUAGCCAUGGAGGGCGCGCCGGCGGGGAAUGCGGGCGGCGGACGACACUGUGGGGAGAGGAAGAGAGGGGGGAGGCCCUGGGCCUCACCGUGGUUGUAGGGCACGGGCAGUGGGGGUCGAGGAGGAGGACGGAGACGACGGCGAGCGGCGACGGCGCGACGUCGGGGCUUGGGGCGCCGCGGGGUCGAGCCCCCGAUCCAGUACGGGUCGAGGGGGUAGGCGUCGUGCGGGAGGAGACGGGAGGCGGGUCCAGCGUGGUGGCUCCGGCGACGGGAGGCCUUCGGGCGGCGAGACGGCAUCGGUGGGGGGUUCGGGCGACGGGGUGACGGGAUCGGGGCCAAUCCCGAUCCAGAUCGGGGGAAGAGGAGAGGUGGAUCGGGGGUGGGGGGGAUGGACCGGUUAGGGUUAGGUUACGGGAGUGGGGUGGUUAUAGGCCAGGGGGAAUUGGACCGGUUAGCUGGCCCAUGGCCCAGUGGGCGGGUGGCCCUUCUCUUUUAUUUUGUUUUCAGUUUUGUUCUUUUCUUUUAGUUAUUAUUCUUUUCUAUUUAAUUUUAGUUUCCUCUAAGUUUCUAUUUUAUAAAAAUUACCACUAGUACCUAAACCUGCAUUUAUAAUUAUACUACUGCCACAACAAUUAUUUACACAAAAAAAUUAGUUUAAUAUUUAAUAAAAUCCAAUAUGUAUUUAUUUAAUUGUUUUAACUACUGUUUUAAUUUCCUAAUUGCAUUUAAACCUUUUGUAACAAUGUGGUUUCUCCACCAUUACUAAUUAUGCAUUAUUUGGCCCACUCCGAACAUUUUAGUUUUAAUAUUUGAAAACUUUUAUUGUUUGCUAGAAUUUGAAUUUGAAUUCAAAUCAAUUUCAAACUAGCGCGAGUUUAGCAACUGUAACUGUGGUGACGUGGCAUCAUUAACGUGGGAUUACUGUAGCUAAUUAUCCGGGCGUCACAGCCUCUAGAUUGGAUCUCGUGGUUUUGGAACUUGCGGCGGCUGGAACAUUUUUUUGUCGACUCUUCUAGGGUUUCUGGAAUAUUGUGGUAUUUAUAGAGCCGAAGGUUGGUGGAGAAGGGCACCGUGGGCCCCACAAGCCACCAGGGCGUGGACGGGCCUUCUAGUGUGCACUGGUGUCUUCUAGGCCCCACGGGCCUCCUCUGGUACACCUCUUGGGCUCCUGAGUCUCCUCUAGGCAGAAAAAAAUCUUCAAAAAGUUUCAUUGCAUUUGGACUCCGUUUGGUAUUGAUGUUCUGCAAAGUGAAAAACAAGCAAAAAACAACAACUGACACUGGGCACUAUGUCAAUAGGUUAGUCCCAAAAAAGAUAUAAAGUUACUAGAAAAUGUAUGUAAAAUAUCCAAGAUUGAUAAUAUAACAGUAUGGAACAAUAAAAAAUCAUAGACGCGUUGGAGACGUAUCAAGUACCGUGGUCGACGUUAGACACAUAUCAAUGGGAAUUUCAGACUCUCUAAACGCUUUAAACGUCCGUCGGUUUCAAUGCUUUAUUCGCUUCGUCGUGCUCUCAUAAUUAACUCUAAAUUGCAACUUCCACCUUCAUUUCGCUUUACGUCUAUAGCUAAUUUUUUUUGCGGGUGCAUCGACAGCUAACUUGCACGCACAUUUUCAUAAGUCUCUAUAAGGGACAAAGUCCAAUCCAUGUGCUCUAUGUGAGAUCGAUACUAGGGCCAUGAUUGUUUGGUCUUUUGCUUCUGCUUUUGUAGUUUUUCCAUUUUGGCCAAAAAGCCAUAAAAACUCCUAAAUAGGUGCUUUUGGAGCUUUUAUGGCUUUUUGGCCAAGGUGGAAAGGCUGCAAAAGUAGAAUCAAAAGCCCAAAUAAAGAAGGCCUAGACAUUACAAACAUGAGAACCAUAAACCAAAACAAAUUAAACAUUAUUGUUGACGUCGCUCCACCAAGCUAGGUCGAAGUGUAGAAUCGUCAAUCCUCUUAAAGGUGAAUGUAAAAUUCCUAUUUACACUCACAAAUCCGUCAAAAGCCCUGCCUGAAUCUUGAUGAGUUACUGUUUUCAUAGCUUUCUUCACAAACACAAUUCUGCUGCAAAACAAAGCAGAUUGUAAAAACAAAGUAUAUGUCAAUAGAAUAGAUGGCAUCUACUUCUAACUCAUGUAUUUAACACAAUUAAAUAGUGUAAUUAAUGUAUGGAAAAUGUGAAAUUAUACCUGGAACAUAAAUGAAUUUCUAUAUUAAAUAGCUCCACAACUUUACAUGUAGCAGAAAAAAUGUUACCAAGUAUAAUUCUUAUAAGCACGUAGUUGACAUGUGGCUAGCAACCAAAUAUUGGUCAAAGCUUUCAAGAAGGCUAGAAGUAGCUUCAUCAUCUACAUGUGACAUGCAAGCAUAUAUCAAUCGCAAGCUUACUCUAAACCACAUCCAUUUAAUUUUCAUACAUGUCAAUGGCACCCAUAUAUGUCAAAUUCAUCCAUAGCCACUACAUCCUUCUCUACAUCCAUUGCAUCCCUUUGCACCCAAUUGUUUGCUUGCCAACUAUGUCCCUUUUUGACCACAUAUAUCUCAAACUGCAUCCAUAUCAACAAUGUCCAUCUUGAUUGCAUCCUUCUCAAUGCUCCUCUUUUUGACUGACCUUUCUAACUGCAUGUAUGUGUACUGCAUGUUGUUCAUCACAAUUUAUUCCAUAUCUCAACUACGAUAUGUCUUGUAGGAUGUGAUUCUAGUUCUAGUAUGAUGAAAGUAGUCAAUGUUAAAGGAUGUGAGUUUGGUUCUAGGAAGAUGUAAAUCGUAGUCUCCUCAGAACUUGCCCCAUGUUACCCUAUUUCCAACGAAAGAUGAAAAGCACAAAGUAACUACUCACUCUAGUAAGAUGCAAGUCAGGCUGCAUGCUGCAGUUGAAAUGAUGCAACAUACAAAAUAAAUAAUUGGAGCAAGAAAAAUAAAAAACAAUGAAGAAGAAACUACAGUGAAAUGACAUGAACCAAUGCCCAAGCAGUUGUUGGAGCGCAGAAACACACUUUUAGAGGUAUCUUUACCAGUUAAGAAACUAAUAAUGUAUAUAGCUGAAUAACAACCAUAAAAGUAUUUUUUUUAAAACAAUAAAGCUCCACACCCUAUAGCCAUCAAUGAAUAUCACAAGCAUAUAGGGAGUAUGUAUAAAUCGUUACAUUUCUAUUUUUCAAUUGGUAGAAAAAUAUAUCGAUACUCAACUAUCCUACCAGAACCUUAGGCCAGUCAGUCAGCGACCAUCUAGCGUUGUCAGGCUAGCACCAUUGGUAGACAUUUCCAAGCCUUCAACUGUUCUCUGUGCAAAAUACAUAGGUUGCUUCGGCACUGCGCGAGGCAUGGCUUCGUUAUCCAACAUGGACACAACCGAUGACAUGUGUGGCCUAGCAUUGGGGCUAUCUUGCACACACAUCAAUCCAAUGUGGAUACACUUUGACACUUCAUCAGGGGAGUAGCUCUCCAUGAGUGUUGCAUCCAUGAAAUCCAUUGAUUUUCCAUCUUUCCAUAGGUUCCAUGCCUAAAACAUCACGUUGAAGUUUGUGACUAUAUUUGGUACCGUAAUAUGUUUGUUUUUUCUAAAAUUAAAGUGUUAAAAUUGCUAAGGAAUUUGAAGCAUUUAAUAAUGACACUUACAUAUGCUAUGAGAUUCCGGAAAUCCAUUACAAGAUGAUGAGGUGAGCUGAUCUUUAAUCCACUUACAAUCUCCAGCAGGAAAAUACCAAAGCUGUAGGUGUCAGACUUCAAUGAAAAGAUUCCCUCCAUCGCAUAUUCAGGUGACAUGUAACCACUGUUUGAAAGAUUUAACAAUUAAGCUAAGUUUGUGUAUGUAGUUUGAGUAUGAUUCAAACAUAUAAAUAAGAAGAAGAAUCAGUCAUAAACACGGAAUGAUGCGCUUGGUCCAAAUUGAACCUUUUAUUAUGCAACGCCUAUGUUAUACUCCAAAUUUUCUUAAAGUGAUUGAUGUUUACUUGGUUAGUGCUUUGGUCCCAUCGGACUCUGAAAAAAAAUGUUAGGAGAUGAGGGAAAUACUAUCAUAUUAUAACAUGCAAAAUCCCUUAAAGUAAGAUUUAUGCCAUGUGUAAAAUGAUAAGAAAGAAAAAAUAAUGUAGUCUUUUGUACAAAGGACAUUAUUUGGCUGAUUUUUUUAGGUUUCGAACGACAUCCAUGCAAUCACAAAUUGUUUCGUUUUGUUUCUAAAUCUUCAAAUGUUCAAAGGCACCCUAUAUAACUAGGUUAAUUUGGAAGGUGAGUUAAUGUUUCCCCAAAAUAAAAGAAGAAUCACAUGUGUGGAGAAAGCAACAGGGUAAGAACAAAAUUCAGCAACUAACAUGAUUAUUUUUAUUUCAUAAAACACAUGAAGAUGAUGAAUUUAUCUUGUCGGUUUUGCACAAAAAUAAAAAAAAAUCAACUCACUUUUGCAAGUUAUCAUUUCAUUGAAAUAAAUAUAAUUGUAGAGGAUCUACAAAUAAUUAAUACAUACCUACUUUUUCAAAACAACGUUAGGGUUCACACAAAACAUUAGAAAGUUCAUGGCUUAACAUUGAUAGUUUUGUAGUUCAGGAUUCGAGAUAAAUCAACCAAAAUAGUUGGGGCGAGUUGAAGAUAGACUUUUCUAUUAAAAAUGAUGAGAUGAAGGCCACUGUGAGUUACUUACUAUGUCCCAACUACAUGUUUGGUACGCUCGUGUUGCUCAUUGCCUCCAAAGAUCCUUGCCAUUCCAAAAUCUGCUAUCUUUGCGUUCAUCUCCGAGUCUAGCAGGAUGUUGCUCGGCUUGAGGUCUCGAUGAAUUAUCGUCAUUCUCGAAUCUUGGUGUAGAUAUAGUAAUCCUCUAGCUACCCCUUUGAUUAUGCUAAAUCUUCUUGGCCAAUUGAGUGUAGAUUUUCUUGCAUUAUCUGUCAGAGUAUAAAUCAUCUAGGGAGCCAUUCAUGCAAGUAUAUAUGUUUGUUUAGUUGAUUCAAAUUUAGUUUCUAUAGUAGUAUGCGAGAAUGUACCAAAAAGGAAUUUGUCUAGACUUUUGUUGGGUAGGUAUUCGUAUAUAAGCAACUUCUCAUCCUCAUGAAUACAAUAUCCAAGGAGUCUAACAAGAUUCUUGUGCUGCAGUUUGGCAAUAAGAACAACUUCAUUUCUGAAAUGCUCUAUUCCCUGCUCAGAUCCCUUGCUAAGCCUUUUAAUAGCAACUUCCUUGCCAUCUUGCAGUAUUCCCUGCAAGCUUCUCAUCAUUAUUAAUUUUACCACAAGGAAAUUAAAAACAAUUUUGCAUCUUGUAUUUAGAUCUUAAGGUAAACAUUUUAUAUGCAACCUUAUACACUUUCCCAAAACCUCCUCUUCCAAGCAUGUUGGUUUCAUGGAAACUAUUCGUUGCAGCAGCAAUGUCUUCGAACGUUAUCCGCGAAAAUUCUAAACUUUGAUCCCAGACUUCUUGUGAAGGUCUCAGGUGUACCUGCAGGGCUCCAUUGUUUUGAUGUAUGCCUACAGAAAAUAUCAUGCAUGCAAACUCAAUAGUAGGACAUAUGAACAACCCAAAGCACAUUGCAGAGAGGUGUUGUCUCUUAAUUUACCUCUGGGUUUGCAUAUACAGAAAAUAUAUAUGCAUGUGAGUAUCAGCAAGAAUGCUAUAAGUGGGAGUACAAUCUUAAAUACCACAUGGACACCGUUGAUCUUGUUGUUGGUUCUUGCAUAAUUGUCCCCUGUGAAGAAAGUAUAGAAAUGAGUACCGGGUCAAGGCCUUUAUGAAUCUACUGUUUCUUCGAUAGUCAAGACUAGGCGUGACCUUGUACCCCUUGCAAUUUAUUUAUUUUGGAAAGAUCUAAAGUAGUUUAUCGUAAGGAUCAUAAGUAUUUACAAAUACAACCUUAUAGAAAAAGAAUAUUAAAUCCAACCUUUUCUGGGAAAUCAACUUUUAAUGUGCUAAUACGAUUACUUUUCCGGUGUGCGUGUAGCAAUCCAACCUUUUCUCAGUGCGUACCGAAGCACUGAAUGAAAAAUAUUUGGGUUCACCUUCCAAUGCGGGGAUGGACAAGAGCGAUUGUUUUCAGUUCCUGACUGGUAAGAUUUAUUAUGAAAAUUAGCGGAUGGAAAGAAAAAGUAUUAUAUGCUGGAGGAAAGGAAACUUUGCUCAAAUAUGUUUUUCAAGUGAUCCCAACUUAUGCCAUGCCUGUCUUUAAAAUUCCUAUUUUUUUGCAAAGGAAUCAUUGACGCGAUGUCGUAAUUUUGGUGGGGUGACGAGGACAAUUAGAAAUGGAUGCACUGGAUGGCAUGGUGAAAGACGUGUGUUCCAAAAUGUCAAGAAGGAAUGGGAUUCCGAGAUAUACACUGUUUCGAUCUGGCAUUGUUAGCUAAACAAGCUUGGCAUCUCCUGGAUAAUCCAGAUUCACUAUGUGCUACAAUAUUAAGAGCUGAUUAUUGGGCGACUUGAUGAACGCAAGUUUAAAAAAGGGUUCCUCCUUCACUUGGCAAAGCAUUAUGGCGGGAGUGGAAUCUCUUAGAAAUGGCUAUAUAUGGAGAGUCGAAAAUGGACAAAAUAUUGACAUAUGGAGAGAUGCAUGGAUCCCGAAUUGUGCGAAUAGGAGAAUUAUUACUUCUAGACGAGGGAAUCUACUGGAGAAAGUUUCUGACCUUAUUGAUCUAGUCAGGAACGGGUGGGAUGAAGAUUUGAUGAGACAAACAUUAUGGCAAAUUGAUGCUCGAAGAGUCCUAGUGACCCCCCUUCCUAUGCAUAAUAUGCCGGAUUUAACUUCUUGGAGCUAUACUAAAAACGGUUUGUUUACUGUACGACCAGCUUACUUGGAGGGAUGGAAUAAACAACACGGGACGAAACUGAAAUACACAAAUGGUAUGGGUAGAAGCAGGGACAAUCCUAUGUGGGGAAAGAUUGGGAAACUAGCUUGUACGGUGUACACUUCAUGGGACCCUACCAUGCCGUGUCAUGCUGGCCAAUAGACACAUGAAAAUUUUGCCUGUUUGCCUAGCUUGUUUGAAUGGGCCAAGGGAUACCAAGCAUUUGUUGUUUCUAUGCUAGAAGGAAAAAAAUGUGUGGGAGAAGUUGGGAAUGUAUGAAACAGUUAACAAAGCAUGUGUGCUCGAUCGUACGGGAGAGGUAGUCCUUGAAUUAUUACUCCUCAUGCCAGAACAAGAACUAUCUAUAUUGGGUUUUCAUAACUCACGGGAGAUGAUCACUAUAAUUGUGUGGUAUUUAUGGUGGAAUAGGCAUAAGCUAGUUCAUGAGGGAAAGUCUGAAGAGGCGUACCAAACCUCGAUGGGAAUUCGUUCUAUAACGGCUAAUUAUGUUAAUGCACACCCACCUAAUGCAAAGAGGGAGAAUGAAGGAUGGAGCUGACCUCCUAGGGGGUUUGUUAAGCUGAAUGAGGAUGGUUCCUUUGAUCAUGAUCUACCAAGGGGCACAACGGGUGCCGUUCUGAGGGAUGCCAAAGGAAAUUUCAUUGCUGACGGAUAUUGGAAAAUUGAAUGGUGUGUUGAUGUUGUGACAGCGGAAUCAUUAGCACUUAGUUUUGCCUUAUUGCUGGUACCAAAGGCGGGUUGCAACCGUCUCGUUAUUAACUCUGACAACAUGAAAGUCAUUGACACAAUGAAGAAUGAAGGACAUUCUGCAGGAGCGGCGACCGCAAUUUUUGACGAUUGCUAUUCUAUAGCUUGUGAUUUUCCUCUUACUAGCUUUGAACGUUGUAAUAGGAAAGCAAAUAAAGUACCUCGUGAGCUGCUAGUCUAGCAAAAUGUUCCAUGACAAGGGAUUGGAUAAAGGAACCUACGGAAAAAAAUUGUAUCUCUUCUUAUAAACAAUGUAACGAUCAUUAUUUCUAAUUAAUAAAGUUGAUGAUGUUAUUAAAAAAAUAUGGGUGGGAGCUACGUUUUUUGCACACUUAUAUGGUACGUAUAGAAGCAGACGUACGUACCGUUGCCGGCCAACCGAAGAUACAGGUGGUCACUUGUAUAGUCAGCUUUCACCAUGUCGACAAGGUCUCCUGUCCAAUGGAAGCACUUGGAUGCCAGGAGGAUGUCGCUCGCGUUGGUGUAAGCAUACCCCGUGCAGGAGCAGUUGCGGUCGCAGCCCGCAGCGCACUCCUCGAAGCUCCUGUUGGUCAAGUAGACGAACUUGUCGGGCAGCUUCAUCGCCGGCAAGGUCAGGAAGUAGUUGUUGCCGCCGCAUCUCACCGCCUCCUUCCUCACGCACCCUGCUUUCGAGGAGCCGCCGCCGCCGUCCGCCGGCUCAAACCCGUCGAGGCACCUGCACUCCCGGACGUCCCCUUUGACGUCGCAGUAGCCGAACGGCCCGCACGCGCCGUAGACGAGGCACCCCUUGCCCGGCCGCUCGAACAGGGGCACCCACGACGAUGACGACCCCUCGACCCACACCCUGAACAUCACCUCGCCCGUGUGGUCGAGCUUCCAGUGCGACCUCGCCGGGGCCGAGUCGUCGGCUCUGUUGUAAGUGAAGUAGGCCACCUCUCCGUCGUCGAUCAUCUGGGACAAGAAGGAUUUGGUGAAGCUGGCGGCCGUGGCGCCGUUCCACACCCCGGCGCGCCAGUAGAGAGUCGACCCUCGCCACGUCAGGAUCUGAAGGCCCGUGCUGGUGUCGCCGCUCAAGACGAACUCGCCCGUGGACGGGUCGUCGGGGCCCUUCCACGCCACGAUGCGCGCUGCUACGUGGGUCUUGUAGUUCACCCACAGCUUGAAUCCCGGGAGAAAGGUGUCGGUCGGCUCAUCGUAGCUCUGCCAUAUCUCCGUGCCGUUCCGCGACCGGAGAACAAAGUUUCCGGUGUCGAGCAGCACCGCCCCUGCACCGGUGGCUCCGCCACCUGAUCCUGAUCCGGUGGUGGUGACGUUGUUCGUCUUCGUCGCCCAGAGGACACGGCCGUCGGAGUCGGACAAGACGAGGUCAGAGGUGUUGCUCACGACCAGCUUCCCGGGCAAACUGCUCUUGAUCGGGCUGUCGCGGUUGGCCACCCACACAUAUGUUCGCUCAGAGAUGUUGUGGUACCAUAUGCCUAAAUAUGUGUUGGCGGCGGAGCCUUGCAGGGAGAAGAAGCCAAGGGCGAAGAGGCCAUUGCUGGAGAUGAGCUCGUCGCCGGGCGAGAGUGGCUUAGUGGGUCUUAGGCGGUCAUCGGAGUUGCAGGAACGAACCAGGAGCAUGAGGAUGAAGAUGGCCGGGAGAGAAGCCAUACUCUGGUGCGUUAGCGCCUGAGCGAAAUGUGGCAAAAGAUCUCUGGUUUCCCGUUUGCAAUUCGGAGACCAUGAUGUCCCAUUAUAGCUGACAACUAUAUCUGCCGUGAGCUCAACGGCAUCGUUUGGCUUCCGCGGCAGAGCGACCAUGGCAUCUCGUUGUUUCUCUGCUGUGCUCAAGUUGUAACUGCCGGACAUCGACGGGUUCGUUCCAAUAAUUUUACCAGACCUAUUAUUAUAUGUAAUAAAUGCCUUAACAUAACGUACAUAAGGAAUGAUUUGACCUCUCUAAUUGGAUGUGGCUAGGUCUCUCAGUCUAGUGAAAUUUAACCAAGACUCAAUCAAGUGACAUAGCAUAGCAUGUAAGAAAAAAAAACUAAAAGAAUUUUCUGCACGAAUCUUUAUAAGGUCUUACGAAUAUAACAUCUAUUGAGGCAUAACCAAGUCCGAGUCGACUGAAAUUUAGCAACACCCCUUUAAUUUGCCCCUCCCCAUGGUGGUCCUGCUCCUUAAAUUUGAAUGCAACCCUUCCAUCCUGGCCAGCCCGUAAUGAUCACGUAAAUUAUGCGUACGUGUGGCAAAGCGCGGGCAUGAUGCCUUUUCUUGAAGAAAAAAACAACUUUUGGGUAGGUGUCUUUUAAACCUGGAGGGAGAGCGUAUAGCCUUAUACUAUGUUUUUGUGCGAUUAGAGAUUUUUUGGAAGUCAAGAAAAUAAAUUAUAUUUUCUAAUCCAUUGUACGAAAUUUGUAACUGGCACACCAGAUCUUUUCUAAUUUUACCGAAAGUGUCGUCUGAUGUUCACUCCGCAUCGAAUGACACCUUUUUUUCGUCCCGCAAAACUCACUCCGCCGUUCGUGUCCUCGACGUCGUCGUCCUGCAAGACUGGGUCUUCCCCACAGCGGAGAAAAGCGGGGCCCUUCCUCAACCUCCGGCCCGUCAUCACGUACCUCGCGCAGCUGCCGUACUACCUCACGUGCUCCGCUGGCUCUCCACCGGCCACCAUCACCACACCACUGCACAUCGUCAUGCCCCCCGCCACCUGGCCCGUGGGAGGUGGGCGUACGCCGCGCCGCAACCGGGACGAUACUCCAUGGUGCUCACGAAGUUCUUCGUCCUCGGCGUGGACCUCCUCUGGAAGUACUCCUGCUCCCAGGAAUAAAUUUGAGAUACACAAUUACACCUAAAAAUCGCCGUUUGAGACGGUCCAUUCAUUCUACACGAAAAGUGAUAUGUGCUAUAAAUUAGUUCUCAUGAACUUGCGUUGUGACUAUUACAAAAGAUUUCUGAAUUUGCUAUGAUAAUGUGUGAACUAGGAUUUUCCCACAACAACUACAGAUUGUGCGUACAAUGCUAAACUCAAAACUACAGAUUGAAAAUUACCAUGGUAAUUAUGGGAUUGAAAUUGCCAUGAACUCUCUAACAAUAUUAAAGAUGGCUGAACCAAUUUUGGCCAUGGCAAAGAUUGUUCUUCCUAAGCAAAAGAAUUGCACAAUUGCAGAGGAGACGCAUCGUCAACUUGCUAGCACUGCAUAUUACCCCAUGGCAACUAUAGAUUACCCCUACCAACUUUAAACCCGAGGAAAAAAAGUAGAGAUUGAAAAUUUGCCAUGGUAAAAAAUGGGGUGAAAUUGCUUUUUUAUUAUAUUUUUUUCUUCCAAAUUAAGCUAAUGGUGGGCUGUCACCGCAGACGUAAUGCGGAGGGUGAGGAUUAUAGCUGGUUAAACCAAGAUCAAUCCAAGUCGUGCCAGAGGUAGCCAUCCAGCUUUCGUCGACCAUCGUUGCUGCAACGCCACUCAAAUUACGUUUUGAUUUCUUUUGCGAAUGAAAGUACCAUAUUUUUAUUACGUAUACCAUUCUUUCUUUUUUUUGAACAACCUCAUCACAAGGGUUGGGGGUCCUGCAGUUCAUUAAUAAAAAGAGAGAUGGACAAGUAUAUAAGAAAAAUCAAACCCAAAAACCUUACAUUACUCGAUCAAUUAGGGGAAACCAAGUGAACACUUGCGGAGAAAGCGGUUUUGUUGUACAUGUCCAAAUAGGCAUUCAUCUUCUGCUCAGCGCCCUCCUCUUUAUUCACCUCUUGUAACUUACACUAGUUGAAAACAGGGCUUUGGUUCGGGCCUGGCCAGCCCAUUAGUCCCGGUUCUGCACGAACCGGGACUCAUGGGGGGCAUUCGUCCCGGUUCGUGAGCCCAGGGGCCGGCCGGGGCCUCGUAGGCAUUGGUCCCGGUUCGUCCGGACCCAUUUGUCCCGGUUCUAGGCACGAACCGGGACCAAUGGGCCUCGCUCCUGGCCCACGUCCAUUGGUCCCGGUUCCUGGCUCGAACCGGGACAGAAGGCUGGGCUUUAGUCCCGGUUCCAGCCACGAAUCGGGACAAAUGAGUUGCUUAUAUAUACCCAUCACCGCUGCAGACCACUCCACAGUGCUCUGUUUUUUCUGGCCGGCGAGGGGAGGGCAUUCGGGUGCUCUAACUCACCUCCUAUGCACAUGAGGUGUUCGAUGAAAUGUCCGAGCCACACUAGUUAAUCUUUCUCCUCUCGAAACUCGACCUCCGAGCUCCAUUUUCCCCGAGAUUUGUCUAGGUUUAGCGGUUCGUCACGUCCCGUCCCCGUCUUCACCGCCGUCGAUCGCCCCCGCCGAUCUCGUCGCCGACACCACCAUGGUGAGCCUCUUGUUCUUAUCUUCUUUCUGAAAGAAAAAAAUUCUUACUUCAGAUAGAUACUUGUCUAAUUUUCUUACGUUUAUUAUUCCUUGUUAUUAUAUAGUGCGAUGGUUCUGGUAUCCGCCCCCGUCGGCCCUCGUCCUGUCUAUGAUUCGGAUGUGGUAUAUAUAUUAUCUUUUUAUAACUAUUUGGUUCAUUUAUUGUUUAUGACAAUUAUGCCGACCAACGUGACAUAGAUUUUAUUUAUCUAGGAGGUGGUUGAACCGGAAAUUCCAACCAACUCUAUUGUCGAGAGGUUAAAUUUAGUUGAAGAAGAAAACAAUUACUUGAAGGAAAAAUAAAAAAAUUGAGGAGGAGAAGAUGAUAUUGGAGUUGCAUGUUGCGGAUGUCGUCGAUGAUCACAAGAUCAAGAUGGAUGCAAUGCGGUUGAAGAUUAGAAAAUAUGCCAUUCAUACCGAGGCUUGGUAUCAUUAUGCCAUUGGAUCAAUUGUUACCUUGGUUGUGAUUAUGAUCGCAUUUGUUGUUGCAUUGAAAGGUUUUACAUAGUUUCAAUGUAUGGUUUAACUAGAUGCUCUCGAGAGCUAUAUGUUGUUCAAUUUGAACUAUGUAUGUACUUUGGUUUUAAUGUGAUGAUGAAAUACUAUUAAUUUGGUCACUUAUCUAUCCAUGUGAAUCUGUAAUGGUUUUUGACACACAUAAUUAUAUAUAAUGCACGCAAAUGAACCGGCAAUGGAUGUACGGUGACAGACACACAUAAUUAUGUUUCUCGAAGUGGCUGAGGCAAACAAGCAGAAUGGUUUUAUGUGUUGUCCAUGCCCUAACCCUCUCAACUUUUUAGCACAUGUUAUGUGGGUGAAAUGAUAAUACCAUGCCAACUUUCAACCUUUUCAGAGUUCAUUUGAAAUGCUUUUGAAUUUCAAGGUUUUAUAGCUCAAAAAAUUAGAAAGGGUUGAAAAUUCAUGAUGUGGCUUUGAAUGGUGCAUUUUGAACACACAAAAAGUCUGCAGUUCAAAUAAGUUCAAAAAAAUGAAAUCCCUUUGUAAUAGAUGAGUUUCCGUAUGAAACCCUAAUACUUCGAAAGAAGAGAUUGUCCGUUUUGUACACGAAGUGCAUCUAGUUUUUUGCCGUAACCCUCUCAACUUUUUAGCAAAUGCUAUGUGGGUGAAAUGAUGAUACCAUGCCGACUUUCAACCUUUUCAGAGUUCAUUUGAAAUGCUUUUGAAUUUCAGGGUCUUAUAGCUAAAAAAACAGUAAAUGCAUGAAAAAUAACAAAUGAAGUCAGAAAGGGUUGAAAAUUGAUGAUGUGGCUUUGAAUGGUGCAUUUCGAGCACACAAAAAGUCUGGAGUUCAAAUAAGUUCAAAAAAAAUGAAAUUCCUUUGUAACAGAUGAGUUUUCGUCCGAAACCCUGAUCAACUCACAUCACUUAGCUCAAAAAUAAUCAAUUAAAAUAUUCUGUUAUGAUCAACUAAAACAAAAUUAUAAUAUUCUUUAAUAGCAAAAAGAAAAUCAACUAAAAACUUUUAUAAAACUCUAAUAGCAAAAGGAAUCAACUAAAAAGCUUUUAUAAACCUCUAGUAUUUUUUAAACUAAAAUUAUAUAAAAUUUAUGCAACUAAAAUUAUCAAAGAAUUUUUUGUUCAAAACAUGAAAAGCAGAAAGAAACAAAAUAAACUUUAAUAAAUAAGUAGAAAUAAAAUUUAAUAAAAUUUAAUAAAAUAAAUAAGUAGAAACAAAAUAAAAUAAACUAAAAUAAAAUAAAUAUGUAGAAACAAAAUAAACUUUAAUAAAGUAAAAUAAAUAAACUUUAAUAAAAUAAAUAAAUAAUAGCAACAGUAAGUAUUUUUUUGCAAGUAGAAACAAAAUAAAAUAAAUAAAGCAACACAGAAAACAAAAAAAGUGCCACCUACUGGGCCACCACGGCCUGAAUACGACUAGAAAGCCAACCAUGGGCCAGGAUUCAGGCCCGCAGGAGGCCCAGUAGGCCCACAGGCACAUAGUGAAAGAUUAGGCCCGAAAGCCUACAGUUGAGAGGAGCUCGAGAGGGUGGGCGCAGCAGCGCUUAUAAACCACUCUCGAGCUUUCUCAACUAGCGAGGUGGGACUAAACUUUUGGCCGCGACGCGGGCAGCACAAGGCCCUUGGUCCCGGUUGGUGCCACCAACCGGGACUAAAGGGGCGCAUUGGUACUGGUUCAUGGCACUAACCGGAACCAAUGCCCCCCCUUUAGUCCCGGUUGGUGCCACCAACCGGGACCAAAGGCCUCUGCUUCCCGCCCUUUGGGCUGCUGAAAAGAGGCCUUUGGUCCCUGUUGGUAGCACCAACCGGGACUAAAGGGUAACAUUGGUCCCGGUUGGUGCCACGAACCGGGACCAAUGCUCUGUCUAUAUAAGCAANNNNNNNNNNNNNNNNNNNNNNNNNNNNNNNNNNNNNNNNNNNNNNNNNNNNNNNNNNNNNNNNNNNNNNNNNNNNNNNNNNNNNNNNNNNNNNNNNNNNNNNNNNNNNNNNNNNNNNNNNNNNNNNNNNNNNNNNNNNNNNNNNNNNNNNNNNNNNNNNNNNNNNNNNNNNNNNNNNNNNNNNNNNNNNNNNNNNNNNNNNNNNNNNNNNNNNNNNNNNNNNNNNNNNNNNNNNNNNNGUGCAUAUGUGUGAUUAUAUGUAUGUGUGUAUAUAUGAUUAUAUGUCCUGUUUUUUUCAGAUUUUUUGUUCAUAUAUAUAUGAUGAUUUGUUUUUUGCAUUUUUAUAAAAAUGUUUAUAUGUAUGUAUGUUCUCUGUGUAUAUAUGUUCAUAUAUGCAAAAGUUAGAUCUUUAGAAAAGUUUUAUCUAUAUAUGUUCUCUGAUUUAGUACAUUUUAGGAGAGGAAAAAGGAAAAUAAGAAGAGGAAGAAAGGAGAAGAAGAGGAGAAAUAAAUAAGAAGAGGAAAAAAGAAGAAAAAGAAGAGGAGAAGAAGCAAGGAAUAGAGGAGAAGAAGAACAAAAUAGAAAAUACUCUAUUUUUUCUUCUUCUCCUCUUUUUUUUCUUCUUUUUUUCUUCGAUCUUAUACAUGAGGGGCGGUCAAUAUAUAUACCCCCUCUCGACCUCGAUAACUUAUACCACGGGAGCACCCCCCGGCCCUCUCGCUCGACCAAAACUCUCGAGGACAUGAGUGGCGGUCGAUAUAUAUACCCCCUCUCGACCGCGAUAACUUAUACCACGGGAGCACCCCCCGGCCCUCUCGCUCGACCAAAACUCUCGAGGACACCCAAACCCUUGAAGCAUUGUCGAGAGUCUCCUACCCCCUCCCGCCGCGCCCCUACCCGACAAACUCUCUCGAGGCCACUGCUACCUCUUGAGCACUGCGUUGGUUUUCCCUUGAAGAGGAAAGGGUGAUGCAGUAAAGUAGCGUAAGUAUUUCCCUCAGUUUUUGAGAAACAAGGUAUCAAUCCAGUAGGAGACCAUGCUCGAGUCCCACGCACCUACACAAACAAAUAAGAACCUUGCAACCAACGCGAUAAAGGGGUUGUCAAUCCCUUCACGGCCACUUGCAAAAGUGAGAUCUGAUAGAGAUGAUAAGAUAAUAUUUUUGGUAUUUUUAUGAUAAAGACUAAAAGUAAAGAAAGCAAAAUAAACGGUAAUAGAAAUAACGGUAGAUUAAUAUGAUAGAGAAUAGACCCGGGGGCCAUAGGUUUCACUAGUGGCUUCUCUCAAGAGCAUAAGUAUUACGGUGGGUAAACGAAUUACUUUCGAGCAAUUCAUAGAAUUGAGCAUAGUUAUGAGAAUAUCUAGGUAUGAUCAUGUAUAUAGGAAUCACAUCCGUGACAAGUAGACCGACUCCUGCCUGCAUCUACUACUAUAACUGCACACAUCGACCGCUAUCCAGCAUGCAUCUAGAGUAUUAAGUUCAUAAGAACGGAGUAACGCUUUAAGCAAGAUGACAUGAUGUAGAGGGAUAAACUCAUGCAAUAUGAUAUAAACCCCAUCUUUUUAUCCUCGAUGGCAACAAUACAAUACGUGUCAUUUCCCCUACUGUCACUGGGAUCGAGCACCGCAAGAUUGAACCCAAAGCUAAGCACUUCUCCCAUUGCAAGAAAGAUCAAUCUAGUAGGCCAAACCAAACUGAUAAUUUGAAGAGACUUGCAAAGAUAACCAAUCAUACAUAAAAGAAUUCAGAGAAGAUUCAAAUAUUGUUCAUAGAUAAUCUUGAUCAUAAACCCACAAUUCAUCGGAUCUCGACAAACACACCGCAAAAGAAGAUUAUAUCGAAUAGAUCUCCAAGAGAAUCGAGGAGAACUUUGUAUUGAGAUCCAAAGAGAGAGAAGAAGCCAUCUAGCUAAUAACUAUGGACCCGAAGGUCUGAGGUAAACUACACACACAUCAUCGGAGAGGCUAUGCUGUUGAUGUAGAAGCCCUCCGUGAUCAAUGUCCCCUCCGUCGGAGCGCCGGAAAAGGCCCUAAGAUGGGAUCUCACGGGUACAGAAGGUUGCGGCGGUGGAAAUAGGGUUUUGGCUCCUUUUCUGAUGUUCUCAGGGUACGUAGGUAUAUAUAGGAGGAAGAAGUAGGUCGGUGGAGCUAUGAGGGGCCCAUGAGGGUGGAGGGCGCGCCCGGGGGGUAGGUGCGCCCCCUGCCUCGUGGCCUCCUUGUUGAUUGCUUGACGUCCACUCCAAGUCCUCUGGAUCACGUUUGUUCCGAAAAUCACGUUCCCGAAGGUUUCAUUCCGUUUGAUAUCCUUUUCCUUCGAAACACUGAAAUUAGCAAAAAAACAGCAAUUUGGGCUGGGCCUCCGGUUAAUAGGUUAGUCCCAAAAAUAAUAUAGAAGUGUAUAAGAAAGCCCAUUGAACGUCCAAAACAGAAUAUAUAAUAGCAUGGAACAAUCAAAAAUUAUAGAUACGUUGGAGACAUAUCAAGCAUCCCCAGCUUAAUUCCUGCUCGUCCUCAAGUAGGUAAAUGAUAAAAACAGAAUUUUUGAUGUGGAAUGCUACUUAGCAUAAUUUUCAAUGUAAUUCUCUCAAUUGUGGCAUGAAUAUUCAGAUCCAAAAGACUCAAGAUAAAAGUUUAAUAUUGACAUAAAAGUAAUAAUACUUCAAGGAUACUAACUAAGCAAUUAUGUCUUCUCAAAAUAACAUGGCCAAAGAAAGUUCAUCCCUACAAAAUCAUAUAGUUUGGUCAUGCUCCAUUUUCGUCACACAAGAAUGCUCUCAUCAUGCACAACCCCGAUGACAAGCCAAGCAAUUGUUUCAUACUUUAGUAAUCUCAAACUUUUUCAACUUUCACGCAAUAUAUGAGCGUGAGCCAUGGAUAUAGCACUAUGGGUGGAAUAGGAUAUGAUGAUGGGGGUUAUGUGAAGAAGACAAAAAAGGAGAAAUUCUCACAUUAACGCGGCUAAUCAACGGGCUAGGGAGAUGCCCAUCAAUUGAUGUCAAUGCAAGGAGUAGGGAUUGCCAUGCAACGGGUGCACUAGAGCUAUAAAUGUAUGAAAGCUCAACAAAAGAGACUAAGUGGGUGUGCAUCCAACUUGCUUGCUCACGAAGACCUAGGGCAUUUGAGGAAGCCCAUUGUUGGAAUAUACAAGCCAAGUUCUAUAAUGAAAAAUUCCCACUAGUAUAUGAAAGUGACAAAACAAGAGACUCUCUAUCAUAAAGAUCAUGGUGCUACUUUGAAGCACAAAUGUGGAAAAAGGAUAGUAGCAUUGCCCCUUUUUAUUUUAUUUUCCUUUUUUCUUUUUUUUGGGCCUUUUCCUUUUUUUAUUUGGCCUUUUUUUUGGGACAAUGUUCUAUGAAUGAUGAUCAUCACACUUAUAUUUAUUUACAACUCAAUGAUUACAACUCGAUACUAGAACAAAGUAUGACUCUAUAUGAAUGCCUCCGGUGGUGUACCGGGAUGGGCAAUGUAUCAAGAGUGACAUGUAUGAAAUAAUAUGCAUGGUGGCUUUGCCACAAAUACGAUGUCAACUUCAUGAUCAUGCAAGGCAAUAUGACAAUGAUGAAGCGUGUCAUGAUAAACGGAAUGGUGGAAAGUUGCAUGGAAAUAUAUCUCGGAAUGGCUAUGGAAAUGCCAUAAUAGGUAGGUAUGGUGGCUGUUUUGAGGAAGAUAUAAGGAGGUUUACGUGUGAUAGAGCGUAUCGUAUCACGGGGUUUGGAUGCACCGGCGAAGUUUGCACCAACUCUCGAGAUGAGAAAGGGCAAUGCACGGUACCGAAGAGGCUAGCAAUGAUGGAAGGGUGAGAGUGUGUAUAAUCCAUGGACUCAACAUUAGUCAUAAAAAACUCACAUACUUAUUGCAAAAAUCUACAAGUCAUCAAAAACCAAGCACUACGCGCAUGCUCCUAGGGGGAUAGAUUGGUAGGAAAAGACCAUCGCUCGUCCCCGACCGCCACUCAUAAGGAGGAGAAUCAAAGAACACCUCAUGUUUCAAAUUUUUUACACAGCGUUUACCAUACGUGCAUGCUACGGGACUUGCAAACUUCAACACAAGUAUUUCUCAAAUUCACAACUACUCAACUAGAACAACUUUAAUAUCACUACCUCCAUAUCUCAAAACAAUCAUCAAGCAUCAAACUUCUCUUAGUAUUCAACGCACUUAUAAGAAAGUUUUUACUAAUCUUGGAUGCCUAUCAUAUUAGGACUAAUUUCACAAUUUAAGCGAAUUACCAUGCUGUUUUGUAGGACUCUCGAAAUAAUAUAAGUGAAGCAUGAGAGAACAAUAAUUUCUAUAAAACAAAACCACCAUCGUGCUCUAAAAGAUAUAAGUGAAGCACUAGAGCAAAAACUAUAUAGCUCAAAAGAUAUAAGUGAAGCACAUAGAGUAUUCUAAUAAAUUCUGAAUCAUCUGUGUCUCUCUCAAAAGGUGUGUACAGCAAGGAUGAUUGUGGUAAACUAAAAAGCAAAGACUCAAAUCAUACAAGACGCUCCAAGCAAAACACAUAUGAUGUGGUGAAUAAAAAUAUAGCCCCAAGAAAAGUUACUGAUAGAUGAAGACGAAAGAGGGGGUGCCUUCCGGGGCAUCCCCAAGCUUAGGCUUUUGGUUGUCCUUGAAUUUUACCUUGGGGUGCCUUGGGCAUCCCCAAGCUUAGGCUCUUGCUAAUCCUUGUUCCAUAAUCCAUCAAAUCUUUACCCAAAACUUGAAAACUUCACAACACAAAACUUAACAGAAAAUCUCGUGAGCUCCGUUAGCGAAAGAAAACAAAACACCAUGAUACGUCUCCAACGUAUCUAUAAUUUUUGAUUGUUCCAUGCUAUAUUAUAUUCUGUUUUGGAUGAUUAAUGGGCUUUGUUAUACACUUUUAUAUUAUUUUUGGGACUAACCUAUUAACCGGAGGCCCAUCCCAUAAUUGUUUUUUUUUCCUAUUUCAGAGUUUCGUAGAAAAAGAAUAUCAAACAGAGUCCAAACGGAAUGAAACCUUUGGGAACGUGAUUUUCGGAACGAACGUGAUCCAGAGGACUUGGACCCUACGCCAAGACAUCAACCAGGAAGGCACGAGGUAGGGGGGCGCGUCUACCCCCUGGGCGCGCCCUCCACCCUCGUGGGGCCCACGUUGCUCCACCGACGUACUUCUUCCUCCUAUAUAUACCUACGUACCCCCAAACUACCAGAUACGGAGCCAAAAACCUAAUUCCACCGCUGCAACCUUCUGUACCCGUGAGAUCCCUUCUUGGGGCCUUUUCCGGAGCUCCACCGGAGGGGGCAUCGAUCACGGAGAGCUUCUACAUCAACACCAUAGCCUCUCUGAUGAUGUGUGUGUAGUUUACCUCAGACCUUCGGGUCCAUAGUUAUUAGCUAGAUGGCUUCUUCUCUCUUUUUGGAUCUCAAUACAAUGUUCUCCCCCUCUCUUGUGGAGAUCUAUUCGAUGUAAUCUUCUUUUGCGGUGUGUUUGUUGAGACCGAUGAAUUGUGGGUUUAUGAUCAAGAUUAUCUAUGAACAAUAUUUGAAUCUUCUCUGAAUUCUUUUAUGGAUGAUUGGUUAUCUUUGCAAGUCCCUUCGAAUUAUCAGUUUGGUUUGGCCUACUAGAUUGAUCUUUCUUGCAAUGGGAGAAGUGCUUAGCUUUGGGUUCAAUCUUGCGGUGCUCGAUCCCAGUGACAGUAGGGGAAACGACACAUAUUGUAUUGUUGCCAUCGAGGAUAACAAGAUGGGGUUUAUAUCAUAUUGCAUGAGUUUAUCCCUCUACAUCAUGUCAUCUUACUUAAAGCGUUACUCUGUUCUUUUGAACUUAAUACUCUAGAUGCAUGCUGGAUAGCGGUCGAUGUGUGGAGUAAUAGUAGUAGAUGCAGGCAGGAGUCGGUCUACUUGCCGCGGACGUGAUGCCUAUAUAGAUGAUCAUACCUAGAGAUUCUCAUAACUAUGCUCAAUUCUAUCAAUUGCUCAACAGUAAUUUGUUUACCCACCGUAAUACUUAUGCUCUUGAGAGAAGCCACUAGUGAAACCUAUGUCCCCUGGGUCUAUUUUCCAACAUAUUAAUCUCCCGUCAACAAGCUAUUUCUGGCGCCGUUUUUAUUUUUCUUUCUUUACUUUGCAUCUUUAUCACAAAAAUACCAAAAAUAUUAUCUUAUCCUAUCUAUCAGAUGUCACUUUCGUAAGUGACCGUGAAGGGAUUGAUAACCCCUUCAUUGUGUUGGUUGCGAGGAUUUUAUUUGUUUGUGUAGGUGCGAGGGACUCGUGCGUGGCCUCCUACUGGAUUGAUACCUUGGUUCUCAAAAACUGAAGGAAAUACUUAUGCUACUUUACUGCAUCACCCUUUCCUCUUCAAGGGAAAACCAACGCAGUGCUCAAGAGGUAGCACACCACUUCAAGGUACUAUAAUGAACUCAUUCUUUAUUUAUAUUGGUGUUAAACCCACUGUAUUCCAACUUCUCCAUGGUUUAUGAACUCUUUUACUAGCCAUAGAUUCAUCAAAAUAAGCAAACAACACACGAAAAACAGAAUCUGUCAAAAACAGAACAGUCUGUGGUAAUCUGUAUCUAACGCAAACUUCUGUAACUCAGAAAACUCUACCAAAAUAGGACUACCUAGAUAAUUUGUUUUUUGAUCUACUGCAAUUGGAAUCAGUAUUUUAUCACGUUCUGGUGAUUUUAAACAAUUGUUUUCGUGAACAGAAAGUUUCUGGAAUUUUCAGCAAGAUCAAAUAACUAUCAUCCAAGAAGAUCCUAUAGGUUUCACUUGGCACAAACACUAAUUAAAACAUAAAAACAAAUCUAACCAGAGGCUAGAUCAAAUAUUUAUUACUAAACAGAACCAAAAAGCAAGAAAACUAAAAUAAAAUUGGGUUGCCUCCCAACAAGUGCUAUCGUUUAACGCCCCUAGCUAGGCAUAAAGACAAGGAUAGAUCUAAGUAUUGCCAUCUUUGGUAGUAAAUCCAUAAGUGGCUCUCAUAAUAGAUUCAUAAGGUAAUUUAAUCUUCUAUCUAGGGAAGUGUUCCAUGCCUUUCCUUAACAUAAAUUGGAAUAUAAUAUUCCCUUCCUUCAUAUCAAUAAUUGCACCAAUCGUUCUUAGGAAAGGUCUACCAAGAAUAAUAGGACAUGAAGGAUUGUAAUCUAUAUCAAGAACAAUAAAAUCUAUGGGAACAUAGUUCCUAUUUGCAACAAUAAGAACAUCAUUAAUUCUUCCCAUAGGUUUCUUGAUAGUGGAAUCCGCAAGAUGCAAGUUUAAAGAACAAUCAUCAAAAUCACGGAAACCUAGCAAAUCACACAAAGUUUUUGGAAUCGUAGAAACACUAGCACCCAAAUCACACAAAGCAUAGCAUUCAUGAUCUUUGAUUUUAAUUUUAAUUGUAGGUUCCCACUCAUCAUAAAGUUUUCUAGGGAUAGAAACUUCCAACUCAAGUUUUUCUUCGUAAGAUUGCAUCAAAGCAUCAACGAUAUGUUUAGUAAAGGCUUUAUUUUGGCUAUAAGCAUGAGGAAAAUUUAGCACGUAUUGCAACAAGGAAAUACAAUCUACCAAAGAACAAUUAUCAUAAUAAAAUUCCUUGAAAUCCAAAAUAGUGGGUUCAUUGCUAUCUAAAGUUUUAACCUCUUCAAUCCCACUUUUACCAAUUUUUGCAUCAAGAUCUAAAAACUCCGAAUUUCUGGAACAAAACAAAGAUUUAAUAGGAGACACAUCAGUCCCAUCAUUAUAAGGAUUCAUAUUGCAAAACAAAGAUUUAAUAGGAGACACAUCAAUAACUUUUAGAUCUUCAUCUUAAUUCUCAUAAAAACUAGAAGAACACGCCUUCACAAAGCAAUCUUUCUUAGCACGCAUCCUAGCGGUACUUUCUUUGCACUCAUCAAUGGAAAUUCUCAUGGCUUUGAGAGACUCAUUGAUAUCAUGAUUAGGUGGAAUAGAUCUAAGUUUCAAUGAAUCAACAUCAAGAGAAAUUAUAUCCACGUUCUGAUACGUCUCCAACGUAUCUAUAAUUUUUGAUUGCUCCAUGCUAUAUUAUAUUCUGUUUUGCACAUUAUUGGGCUUUAUUAUACACUUUUAUAUUAUUUUUGGGACUAACCUAUUAACCGGAGGCCCAGCUCAGAAUUGCUGUUUUUGCCUAUUUCAGAGUUUCGCAGAAAAAGAAUAUCAAACGGAGUCCAAACGGAAUGAAACCUUCGGGAACGUGAUUUUCGGAACGAACGUGAUCGAGAGGACUUGGACCCUACAUCAAGACAUCAACCAGGAAGCCACGAGGUAGGGGGCGCGCCUACCCCCCCCCCCAGGCGCGCCCUCCACCCUCGUGGGCCCCACGUUGCUCCACUGACGUACUUCUUCCUCCUGUAUAUACCUACGUACCCCAAAACUACCAGAUACGGAGCCAAAAACCUAAUUCCACCGCCGCAACCUUCUGUACCUGUGAGAUCCCAUCUUGGGGCCUGUUCCGGAGUUCCGCCGGAAGGGGCAUCGAUCACGGAGGGCUUCUACAUCAACACCAUAGCCUCUCCGAUGAAGUGUGAAUAGUUUACCUCAGACCUUCGGGUCCAUAGUUAUUAGCUAGAUGGAUUCUUCUCUCUUUUUGGAUCUCAAUACAAUGUUAUCCCCCUCUCUUGUGGAGAUCUAUUCGAUGUAAUCUUCUUUUGCGAUGUGUUUUUUGAGACCGAUGAAUUGUGGGUUUAUGAUCAAGUUUAUCUAUGAACAAUAUUUGAAUCUUCUCUGAAUUCUUUUAUGUAUGAUUGGUUAUCUUUGCAAGUCUUUUCGAAUUAUCAGUUUGGUUUGGCCUACUAGAUUGAUCUUUCUUGCAAUGGGAGAAGUGCUUAGCUUUGGGUUCAAUCUUGCGGUGUCCUUUCCCAGUGACAGUAGGGGCAGCAAGGCACGUAUUGUAUUGUUGCCAUCGAGGAUAACAAGAUGGGAUUUAUAUCAUAUUGCAUGAGUUUAUCCCUCUACAUCAUGUCAUCUUGCUUAAAGCAUUACUCUGUUGUUAUGAACUUAAUACUCUAGAUGCAUGCUGGAUAGCGGUCGAUGUGUGGAGUAAUAAUAGUAGAUGCAGGCAGGAGUCGGUCUACUUGUCUCGGACGUGAUGCCUAUAUACAUGAUCAUACCUAGAUAUUCUCAUAACUAUGCUCAAUUAUGUCUAUUGCUGAACAGUAAUUUUUUCACCCACCGUAAAUACUUAUGCUCUUGAGAGAAGCCACUAGUGAAACCUAUGGCCCCCGGGUCUAUUUUCUAUCAUAUUAAUCUUCCAACACUUAGCUAUUUUUAUUACCUUUUAUUUUACUUUGCAUCUUUAUCAUAAAAAUACCAAAAAUAUUAUCCUAUCAUAUCUAUCAGAUCUCACUCUCGUAAGUGAUCGUGAAGGGAUUGACAACCCCUUAUCGCGUUGGUUGCGAGGAUUUAUUUGUUUGUGUAGGUGCGAGGGACUCGUGCAUGGCCUCCUACUGGAUUGAUACCUUGGUUCUCAAAAACUGAGGGAAAUACUUACGCUACUUUGCUGCAUCACCCUUUCCUCUUCAAGGGAAAACCAACGCAGUGCUCAAGAGGUAGCAAGAAGGAUAUCUGGCGCCGUUGCCGGGGAGUCUACGCAAAAGUCAACAUACAAAGUACCCAUCACAAACCCUUAUCCCUCGCAUUACAUUAUUUGCCAUUUGCCUCUCGUUUUCCUCUCCCCCACUUCACCCUUGCCGUUUUAUUCGCCCUCACUUUCCCGUUUGCCUCUUUUUUCCCGUCUCUUGUUUGCUCGUGUGUUGGAUUGCUUGCUUGUCACAAUGGCUCAAGAUAAUACUAAAUUAUGUGACUUUACCAAUACCAACAACAAUGAUUUCCUUAGCACUUCGAUUGCUCCUCUUACCGAUACUGAAUCUUGUGAAAUCAAUACUGAUUUGUUGAAUCUUGUCAUGAAAUAUCAAUUCGUCGGCCUUCCUAGUGAAGAUGCCGCUACCCAUCUAAAUAGCUUCGUUGAUUUGUGUGAUAUGCGAAACAAGAAAGAUGUGGAUAAUGAUAUUGUUAAAUUGAAGCUAUUUCCCUUUUCGCUUAGAGAUCGUGCUAAAGCUUGGUUUUCAUCUUUGCCUAAAAAUAGUAUUGAUUCUUGGAAUAAGUGCAAAGAUGCUUUUAUCUCUAAGUAUUUUCCUCCCGCUAAGAUCAUCUCUCUUAGGAACGAUAUUAUGAAUUUUAAGCAACUUGAUCAUGAACAUGUUGCACAAGCUUGGGAGAGGAUGAAAUUAAUGAUACGUAAUUGCCCUACGCAUGGUUUGAAUUUGUGGAUGAUUAUACAAAAUUAUUAUGACGGGUUGAAUUUUGCUUAUAGAAAUCUUUUAGAUUCGGCCGCGGGAGGCACUUUUAUGGAAAUCACUUUAGGAGAAGCUACUAAAAUCCUAGAUAAUAUUAUGGUUAAUUAUUCUCAAUGGCACACUGAAAGAUCUACUAAUAAAAAAGUGCAUGCGAUAGAAGAAAUUAAUGUUUUGAGUGGUAAGAUGGAUGAACUUAUGAAAUUAUUUGCUACUAAGAGUGUCUCAUCUGAUCCUAAUAAUAUGCCUUUGUCUACUUUGAUUGAGAAUCAUAAUGAAUCUAUGGAUGUGAAUUUUGUUGGUAGGAAUAAUUUUGGUAACAACGCGUAUAGAGGAAACUUUAAUCCUAGGCCUUAUCCUAGUAAUUCCUCUAAUAAUUAUGGUAAUUCCUACAACAAUUCUUAUGGAAAUUUUAAUAAGAUGCCUUCUGAAUUUGAGACUAGUGUUAAGAAAUUUAUGAAUUCGCAAAAGAAUUUCAAUUAUUUGGUUGAAGAAAAAUUGCUUAAAGUUGAUGAAUUGGUUACGAACGUUGAUAGAAUUUCUCUUGAUGUUCAUUCUUUGAAACUUAGCUCUAUUCCACCUAAGCAUGAUAUCAAUGAGUCUCUCAAGGACAUGAGAAUUUCCAUUGAUGACUGCAAAGAAAGAACCGCUAGGAUGCGUGCUAAGAAAGAUUGCUUUAUAAAAGCAUGUUCUUCUAAUUUUUAUGAAAACAAAGAUGAAGAUCUAAAGGUUAUUGAUGUAUCUCCUAUUAAAUCUUUGUUUAGCAAUACGAAUAUUGAUAAUGAUGGGACUGAAUAUGAUCCACCUUUACCUAGAAGGCGUUCCAGAAAUUCGGAGUUUUUAGAUCUUGAUGCAAAAAUUGGUAAAAGUGGGAUUGAAGCGAUCAAAACUCUAGAUAUUAAUGAACCCACUAUUUUGGAUUUCAAGGAAUUUAAUUAUGAUAAUUGCUCUUUGAUAGAUUGUAUUUCCUUGUUGCAAUCCGUGCUAAAGUCUCCUCAUGCUUAUAGUCAAAAUAAAGCUUUUACUAAACAUAUCGUUGAUGCUUUGAUGCAAUCUUAUGAAGAAAAACUUGAGUUGGAAGUUUCUAUUCCUAGAAAACUCUAUGAUGAGUGGGAACCUACUAUUAAAAUUAAAAUUAAAGAUCAUGAGUGCUAUGCUUUGUGUGAUUUGGGUGCUAGUGUUUCCACGAUUCCAAAUACUUUGUGCGAUUUUUUAGGUUUCCGUGAUUUUGAUGAUUGCUCUUUAAACUUGCACCUUGCGGAUUCCACCAUUAAGAAACCUAUGGGAAGAAUUAAUGAUGUUCUUAUUGUUGCAAAUAGGAACUAUGUGCCCGUAGAUUUUAUUGUUCUUGAUAUAGAUUGCAAUCCUUCAUGUCCUAUUAUUCUUGGUAGACCUUUCCUUAGAACGAUUGGUGCAAUUAUUGAUAUGAAGGAAGGGAAUAUUAGAUUCCAAUUUCUGUUAAGGAAAGGUAUGGAACACUUCCCUAGAAAGAAAAUAAAAUUACCUUACAAAUCUAUUAUGAGAGCCACUUAUGGAUUGCCUACCAAAGAUGGCAAUACCUAGAUCUAUCCUUGCUAUUAUGCCUAGCUAGGGGCGUUAAACGAUAGCGCUUGUUGGGAGGCAACCCAAUUUUAUUUUUAGUUUUUGCUUUUUGCUUCUGUUUAGGAAUAAAUAUUUGAUCUAGACUCUUGUUAGAUGUGUUUUUAUGUUUUAAUUAGUGUUUGUGCCAAGUUAAACCUAUAGGAUCUUCUUGGAUGAUAGUUAUUUGAUCUUUCAGAAAAAUCCAGAAACUUUCUUUUCACGAAAAUAAUUGUUAAAAAUCACCAGAACGUGAUAAAAUAUUGAUUCCAAUUGAUGCUGAUCAAUAAACAAAUUUUCUAGGUCUUCCUAUUUUGGCUGAAUUUUUGGAGUUCCAGAAGUUUGCGUUAGUUACAGAUUACUACAGACUGUUCUGUUUUUGACAGAUUCUGUUUUUUGUGUGUUGUUUGCUUAUUUUGAUGAAUCUAUGGCUAGUAAAAUAGUUUAUAAACCAUAGAGAAGUUGGAAUAAAGUAGGUUUAACACCAAUAUAAAUAUAUAAUGAGUUAAUUACAGUACAUUGAAGUGGUGUUUUGUUUUCUUUCGCUAACGGAGCUCACGAGAUUUUCUGUUAAGUUUUGUGUUGUGAAGUUUUCAAGUUUUGGGUGAAAGAUUUGAUGGAUUAUGGAACAAGGAGUGGAAAGAGCCUAAGCUUGGGGAUGCCCAUGGAACCCCCAAGAUAAUCUAAGGACACCAAAAAGCCAAAGCUUGGGGAUACCCCGGAAGGCAUCCCCUCUUUCGUCUAGUUCCAUCGGUAACUUUACUUGGAGCUAUAUUUUUUUUCACCACAUGAUAUGUGUUUUGCUUGGAGCGUCUUGUAUGAUUUGAGUCUUUUCUUUUUAGUUUACCACAAUCAUCUUUGUUGUACACACCUUUUGAGAGAGACACACAUGAUUCGGAAAUUAUUAGAAUACUCUGUGUGCUUCACUUAUAUCUUUUGAGUUAUAUAGUUUUUGCUCUAGUACUUCACUUAUAUCUUUUAGAACACGGUGGUGGUUUUGUUUUAUAGAAACUAUUAUUCUCUCAUGCUUCACUUAGAUUAUUUUGAGAGUCUUAAAUAGCAUGGUAAUUUGCUUAAAUAAUCCUAAUAUGCUAGGUAUUCAAGACUAGUAAAAAAUUUCUUAUGAGUGUGUUGAAUACUAAGAGAAGUUUGGUGCUUGAUGAUUGUUUUGAGACAUGGAGGUAGUGAUAUCAAAGUUGUGCUAGUUGAGUAGUUGUGAAUUUGAGAAAUACUUGUGUUAAAGCUUGCAAUUCCCGUAGCAUGCACGUAUGGUAAACGUUAUGUAACAAAUUUGAAACAUGAGGUGUUCUUUGAGUGUCCUCCUUAUGAGUGGCGGUCAGGGAUGAGCGAUGGUCUUUUCCUACCAAUCUAUCCCCCUAGGAGCAUGUGCGUAGUGCUUGGUUUUUGAUGACUUCUAGAUUUUUGCAAUAAGUAUGUGAGUUCUUUAUGACUAAUGUUGAGUCCAUGGAUUAUACGAACUCUCACCUUUCCAUCAUUGCUAGCCUCUUCGGUGCCGUGCAUUGCCCUUUCUCACAUUGAGAGUUGGUGCAAACUUCGCCGGUGCAUCCAAACCCCGUGAUAUGAUAUGCUCUUUCACACAUAAACCUCCUUAUAUCUUCCUCAAAACAGCCACCAUACCUACCUAUUAUGUCAUUUCCAUAGCCAUUCCGAGAUAUAUUUCCAUGCAACUUUCCACCGUUCCGUUUACAUGACACGUUCAUCAUUGUCAUAUUGCUUUUGCAUGAUCAUGUAGUUGACAUAGUAUUUGUGGCAAAGCCACCAUUCAUAAUUCUUUCAUACAUGUCACUCUUGGUUCAUUGCAUAUCCCGGUACACCGCCGGAGGCAUUCAUAUAGAGUCAUACUUUGUUCUAGUAUCGAGUUGUAAUCAUUGAGUUGUAAAUAAAUAGAAGUGUGAUGAUCAUCAUUUUCUAGAGCAUUGUCCCAAGUGAGGUAAAAUAAAAUAAAAAAAUAAAGAGAAAGGCCAUAAAAAAAGAGAAGGCCCAAAAAAAUAAGAGAAAAAGAGAGAAGGGACAAUGUUACUAUCCUUUUUCCACACUUGUGUCUCAAAGUAGCACCAUGAUCUUCAUGAUAGAGAGUCUCUUGUUUUGUCACUUUCAUAUACUAGUGGGAAUUUUUCAUUAUAGAACUUGGCUUGUAUAUUCCAGCAAUGGGCCUCCUCAAGUGCCCUAGGUCUUCGUGAGAAAGCAAGUUGGAUGCACACCCACUUAGUUUCUUUUGUUGAGCUUUCAUAUAUUUAUAGCUCUAGUGCAUCCGUUGCAUGGCAAUCCCUACUCCUUGCAUUAACAUCAAUCGAUGGGCAUCUCCAUAGCUCAUUGAUUAGCCUCGUUGAUGUGAGACUUUCUCCUUUUUUGUCUUCUCCACAUAACCCCCAUCAUUAUAUUCUAUUCCACCCAUAGUGCUAUAUCCAUGGCUCACACUCAUGUAUUGCGUGAAGGUUGAAAAUUUUUUGAGAUUACUAAAGUAUGAAACAAUUGCUUGGCUUGUCAUUGGGGUUGUGCAUGAUGAGAGCAUUCUUGUGUGACGAAAAUGGAGCAUGACUAAACUAUAUGAUUUUGUAGGGAUGAACUUUCUUUGGCCAUGUUAUUUUGAGAGGACAUAAUUGCUUAGUUAGUAUGCUUGAAGUAUUAUUAUUUUUAUGUCAAUAUUGAACUUUUAUCUUGAAUCUUUCGGAUCUGAAUAUUCAUACCACAAUUAAGAAGAAUUACAUUGAAAUUAUGCCAACUAGCAUUCCACAUCAAAAAUUCUGUUUUUAUCACUUACCUACUCGAGGACGAGCAGGAAUUAAGCUUGGGGAUGCUUGAUACGUCUCCAACGUAUCUAUAAUUUUUUAUUGCUCCAUGCUAUAUUAUAUUCUGUUUUGGACAUUAUUGGGCUUUAUUAUACACUUUUCUAUUAUUUUUGGGACAAACCUAUUAACCGGAGGCCCAGCCCAGAAUUGUUAUUUUUUGCCUAUUUCAGAGUUUCGCAGAAAAAGAAUAAUAAACGGAGUCCAAACGGAAUGAAACCUUCGGGAAGGUGAUUUUCGGAACGAACGUGAUCCAGAGGACUUGGACCCUACGUCAAGACAUCAACCAGGAAGCCAUGAGGUAGGGCGGCGCACCUACCCCCCCCCCCCAGGCGCGCCCUCCACCCUCGUGGGCCCCACGUUGCUCCACCGACAUACUUCUUCCUCCUGUAUAUACCUACGUACCCCAAAACUACCAGAUACGGAGCCAAAAACCUAAUUCCACCACCGCAACCUUCUGUACCCGUGAGAUCCCAUCUUGGGGCCUGUUCUGGAGCUCCGCCGGAAGGGGCAUCGAUCAUGGAGGGCUUCUACAUCAACACCAUAGCCUCUCCGAUGAAGUGUGAGUAGUUUACCUCAGACCUUCGGGUCCAUAGUUAUUAGCUAGAUGGCUUCUUCUCUCUUUUUGGAUCUCAAUACAAUGUUCUCCCCCUCUCUUGUGGAGAUCUAUUCGAUGUAAUCUUCUUUUGCGAUGUGUUUGUUGAGACCGAUGAAUUGUGGGUUUAUGAUCAAGUUUAUCUAUGAACAAUAUUUGAAUCUUCUCUGAAUUCUUUUAUGUAUGAUUGGUUAUCUUUGCAAGUCUCUUCGAAUUAUCAGUUUGGUUUGGCCUACUAGAUUGAUCUUUCUUGCAAUGGGAGAAGUGCUUAGCUUUGGGUUCAAUCUUGCGGUGUCCUUUCCCAGUGACAGUAGGGGCAGCAAGGCACGUAUUGUAUUGUUGCCAUCGAGGAUAACAAGAUGAGGUUUAUAUCAUAUUGCAUGAGUUUAUCCCUCUCCAUCAUGUCAUCUUGCUUAAAGCAUUACUCUGUUGUUAUGAACUUAAUAAUCUAGAUGCAUGCUGGAUAGCGGUCGAUGUGUGGAGUAAUAGUAGUAGAUGCAGGCAGGAGUCGGUCUACUUGUCUCGGACGUGAUGCCUAUAUACAUGAUCAUACCUAGAUAUUCUCAUAACUAUGCUCAAUUCUGUCAAUUGCUCAACAGUAAUUUGUUCACCCACCGUAAAUACUUAUGUUCUUGAGAGAAGCCACUAGUGAAACCUAUGGCCCCCGGGUCUAUUUUCUAUCAUAUUAAUCUUCCAACACUUAGCUAUUUUUAUUACCUUUUAUUUUACUUUGCAUCUUUAUCAUAAAAAUACCAAAAAUAUUAUCCUAUCAUAUCUAUCAGAUCUCACUCUCGUAAGUUACCGUGAAGGGAUUGACAACCCCUUAUCGCGUUGGUUGCGAGGAUUUAUUUGUUUGUGUAGGUGCGAGGGACUCGUGCGUGGCCUCCUACUGGAUUGAUACCUUGGUUCUCAAAAACUGAGGGAAAUACUUACGCUACUUUGCUGCAUCACCCUUUCCUCUUCAAGGGAAAACCAACGCAGUGCUCAAGAGGUAGCACGUUCCUAGCCAAUUCGUCAACCUUAAGCAGUUUUUCUUCAAGCAACGUAUUGAAAUUCUUUUGUGAAUUCAUAAACUCUUUAACAAUAGUCUCAAAUUAAGAGGGCAUCUUAUUAAAAUUUCCAUAAGAAUUUUUGUUGGAAUUACCAUAAUUAUUAGAGGAAUUACUAGGGAACGGCCUAGGAUUAAAGUUUCCUCUAUAUGCGUUGUUACCAAAAUUAUUCCUACCAACAAAAUUCACAUCCAUAGAUUCAUUAUUAUUCUAAAUCAAAGUAGACAAAGGCAUAUCAUUAGGAUCAGAAGAAACACUCUUAUUAGCAAACAAUUUCAUAAGUUCAUCCAUCUUUCCACUCAAAACAUUAAUUUCUUCCAUCGCAUGCACUUUUUUACUAGUAGAUCUUUCAGUGUGCCAUUGAGAAUAAUCAACCUUAAUAUUAUCUAGGAGUUUAGUAGCUUCUCCUAAAGUGAUUUCCAUAAAAGUGCCCCCCGCGGCCGAAUCUAAAAGAUUUCUAGAAGCAAAAUUCAAUCCGGCCUAAAAAUUUCGUAUAAUCAUCCACAAAUUCAAACCAUGAGUAGGGCAAUUACGUAUCAUUAAUUUCAUCCUCUCCCAAGCUUGUGCAACAUGUUCAUGAUCAAGUUUCUUAAAAUUCAUAAUAUCGUUUCUAAGAGAUAGCGGGAGGAAAAUACUUAGAGAUAAAAGCAUCUUUGCACUUAUUCCAAGAAUCAAUACUAUUUUUAGGCAAAGAUGAAAACCAAGUUUUAGCACGAUCUCUAAAAGAAAACGGAAAUAGCUUUAAUUUAACAAUAUCAUUAUCCACAUCUUUCUUCUUUUGCAUAUCACACAAAUCAACAAUUUAGAUGGGUAGCGGCAUCUUCACUAGGAAGGUCGGCGAAUUGAUCUUUCAUGACAAGAUUCAACAAAGCAGCAUUAAUUUCACAAGAUUCAGCAUCGGUAAGAGAAGCAAUCGGAGUGCUAAGAAAAUCAUUGUUGUUGGUAUUGGUAAAGUCACACAAUUUAGUAUUGUCUUGAGCCAUCGUGACAAGCAAGCAAUCCAACACACGAGCAAACAAGAACCAAGCGAAAAAGAGGCGGACGAAAAGAGAGCGAAUAAAACGGCAAGGGUGAAGUGGGGGAGAGGAAAACGAGAGGCAAAUGGCAAAUAAUGUAAUGCGAGGGAUAAGGGUUUGUGAUGGGUACUUUGUAUGUUGACUUUUGCGUAGACUCCCCGGCAACGGCGCCAGAUAUCCUUCUUGCUACCUCUUGAGCACUGCGUUGGUUUUCCCUUGAAAAGGAAAGGGUGAUGCAGUAAAGUAGCGUAAGUAUUUCCAUCAGUUUUUGAGAACCAAGGUAUCAAUCCAGUAGGAGACCACGCUCGAGUCCCACGCACCUACACUAACAAAUAAGAACCUUGCAACCAACGCGAUAAAGGGGUUGUCAAUCCCUUCACGGCCACUUGUAAAAGUGAGAUCUGAUAGAGAUGAUAAGAUAAUAUUUUUGGUAUUUUUAUGAUAAGGACUAAAAGUAACGAAAGAAAAAUAAACGGUAAUAGAAAUAACGGUAGAUUAAUAUGAUAGAGAAUAGACCCGGGGGCCAUAGGUUUCACUAGUGGCUUCUCUCAAGACCAUAAGUAAUACGGUGGGUAAACGAAUUACUGUCGAACAAUUGAUAGAAUUGAGCAUAGUUAUGAGAAUAUCUAGGUAUGAUCAUGUGUAUAGGCAUCACGUCCGUGACAAGUAGACCGACUCCUGCCUACAUCUACUACUAUUACUCCACACAUCGACCGCUAUCCAGCAUGCAUCUAGAGUAUUAAGUUCAUAAGAACGGAGUAACGCUUUAAGCAAGAUGACAUGAUGCAGAGGGAUAAACUCAUGCAAUAUGAUAUAAAACCCAUAUUUUUAUCCUCGAUGGCAACAAUACAAUACGUGUCGUUUCCCCUACUGUCACUGGAAUCGAGCACCGCAAGAUUGAACCCAAAGCUAAGCACUUCUCCCAUUGCAAGAAAGAUCAAUCUAGUAGGCCAAACCAAACUGAUAAUUCAAAGAGACUUGCAAAGAUAACCAAUCAUACAUAAAAGAAUUCAGAGAAGAUUCAAAUAUUGUUCAUAGAUAAUCUUGAUCAUAAACCCACAAUUCAUCGGAUCUCGACAAACUCACCGCAAAAGAAGAUUACAUCGAAUAGAUCUCCAAGAGAAUCGAGGAGAACUUUGUAUUGAGAUCCAAAGAGAGAGAAGAAGCCAUCUAGCUAAUAACUAUGGACCCGAAGGUCUGAGGUAAACUACUCACACAUCAUCGGAGAGGCUAUGGUGUUGAUGUAGAAGCCCUCCGUGAUCAAUGCCCCCUCCGGCGGAGCGCCGAAAAAGGCCCCAAGAUGGGAUCUCACGGGUACAGAAGGUUGUGGCGGUGGAAAUAGGGUUUUGGCUCCUUUUCUGAUGUUCUCGGGAUACGUAGGUAUAUAUAGGAGGAAGAAGUAGGUCGGUGGAUCUACGAGGAGCCGACGAGGGUGGAGGGCGCGCCCAGGGGGUAGGCGCGCCCCCUGCCUCGUGGCCUCAAGUCCUCUGGAUCACGUUUGUUCCGAAAAUCACGUUCCCGAAGGUUUCAUUCCGUUUGGACUCCGUUUGAUAUCCUUUUCCUUCGAAACACUGAAAUAGGCAAAAAAAACAACAAUUUGGGUUGGGCCUCCGGUUAAUAGGUUAGUCCCAAAAAUAAUAUAAAAGUGUAUAAUAAAGCCCAUUGAACAUCCAAAACAGAAUAUAUAAUAGCAUGGAACAAUAAAAAAUUAUAGAUACGUUGGAGACGUAUCAGCCACCCAAAUUUACCAAGUUAAAAGAGCGUUGUCGUCGAGGCCACCCCAAACCCUUGAAGCGUUGUCGAGGCCACCCCAAACCCUUGAAGCAUUGCCGAGACCACCCCAAACCCUAGAGAAGCGUCGAGGCCACUAAUAUGAUUCAUUAUUGUGAUUAUCUAGCUAGUUCUACGUUUGCCACUACUAUAUCCAUUUGUCAUGUUUGAAUAAUAAUUGUCAUGUUGUAAAUAUUUGCAGAAACUAUGGAGCGCCCCCGAGACGAAGCAACAUAAGCGGUGUUGGGGGACAUAAUCGCAGCUGGAAGUGAUGUCGUCUUGUCGUUUCUCAACACCGAUGGUCUGGAAGGACAGGGUGAAGAAGGAGGCUACGGGGAUCGAACAAUGGAGGAGGAAGGCCAUGAUUAUGAUGGCUCCGGUGAUCGAAUGCCAGUGGAAGAAGGACACCGUGGUGACGGCUUUGGUGACCGAACGGAGUCCGGCCAGGUAUAUAUAUUAAUUAAGCAUGUGCUGACUAUAGCUAAUUGAUGCAUUAAUUGUUUUUUGGUAUGUACACAUAUUAAUCAACUCUCGUCUUUCUUCUUUUUUCUAGCCCUCCGGAUCGAGCACAACUUUGGUAAAGAAACGAGGCCCGAACAAAAAGUUGCGCUCGGAUGAAAGGUUUGAGAUCACAGCAAUUGCGCGCGAUGGCCAACCGAUUGAACCCAUCCGGACCAAGGAAGCAUUUUCUGCUCAGUGCGGGGUUCUUGUUAGGGACAAGAUCCUGAUCAGCAUCUACUAAUGGUUUAAGCCUAAGAAGGAAGACCCUGAGGUGUCUUAUGUCAACGAUAUGCAGAAAGAUGAUCUUUGGACCGCGCUAAAGGCAAAUUUCACCCUACCGCCAGAGGAGGAUCCGGAGAAGCUAGUUAAAGAGCAAUUGAUCAAGUCUCAUGCUCUUAAGUAGAUGGUAGAACUAUGCAGGAGGUGGAAGAAUGAGCUGAAACCAUCAUUUUUGGACCAAGAAAAGACACCAGAAUUCACCGGCCAGUAUGAGAAGAUCAGAGAUCACUGGCCCGCAUUUGUGGCCCACAAGACAUCGGACAAGAGUAAGAAGAUGUCAGCGACAAACAAGAAAAAUGCUGCGAAGAAGCAGCUUCACCAUCGCACGGGGUCAGGUGGCUACCUCAAAGCCCGGCCGUUGUGGGCCAAGGCUGAGAAUGACCUGCUUCAUAAAGGGGUCGAACCAGAGAUAUUGAACUGGCCAGACCGUUGCCGGACUUGGUUCUUCGGGGUUGGCGGAACCUUGGACCCUGUAUCAGGGAAGUGCGUUUGUACGAACGACCAACUUAACAUACCCGUCAAGAAGCUUCAGCAGUAUAUCGAUGCAGCGCAGCAAGGGACGUUCGUUCCAGACAGAGAGAACGACGAGCUCACAAUGGCCCUCGGGAAUCCUGAGCACACUGGACGGACACGAGGCACGCCAGGCUCCGUUCCGUGGAAGGCUGGGUCUCCGGACGCAGGCGGUUACAAAUGCCAGGAGAGGAGGAAGAAAGUGGAGCAGACCCAACUGCAGAAGCUACACGAAAGGGUACAAGCGCUAGAGGAACGAGACGCAGUUCGCAGCAAGCGACCUGCCGAAGCUACUGCCGAAGCUACCCCGCCAUCUCAGCGGAGAAGCAACGUGGCUUCCACGGAGCUGCUUCAGUUGGAGCAUGUCUUGACAGCUCCUGCUAGCUACCCCGUGGAUGCUAUCACGGAGUCUCAACAUUGCCACCUUAUGACGCAAUGGCAGAACUUCAAAGUCAAGGCGGUUGUCGGCUCUGUUCGACCUCCUGAACCUGGCGCAACUUUUCACUGCCGUCUGAUUCCAGAAGGAUAUGCUAGGGUGACGGUGGACGAAAUAACUGAGGGAUUUGAGGACCUCGAUCUUGACCACCCUACCGGUGAAGGGGAGACUCGGCUGGGUUCUUCUCUGAAGACUCCAUGCCUAUGGCGGAAGGAGCUCAUCAACCUUCCGAACUGGACGCCUCCGCCUCCUCCUCCUCCUCCUCCAGCAAGUCAGGGCACUCCGCCUCCUCCUCCGGUGAGUGAUCAGGGCACUCAGCCUCCUUCUCUGGCGCGUGGCGGCACUCCGCCUCCUUCUCCGCCUGCGCCGGCGCGGCCGAGCAGCCAGCCUCCUCCUUCUCCGCCUCGUCAUCAAGGGCGGAAGAGACCCGCCGCCGCUCCGGCUGCUCCGGCGCGUCGUAGUCCUUCUCCUCCGCCUCGUAAGCAAGGAAAGAAGAUAGCCGCAGCCGCUCCGUCUGCUCGGCCGGCGUCUAGCAGUACAGCCAGAGGCGGGAGGCAAUACAGAUUCGGUCCAUCUCUCAAGCCUCUAGAGAAGUUACCAUACGAGAGAAGCGUGGAGGAAAACGCGAAGAUCGUGGAAGCCGAAGUGAGGGACUUCUUUGAAGGGGUGAAAGCAAAGAAACAUCCACCUCCGGAGGAGAAGAUAGAUCUGGUGAAAGCAAAGCGCACUAUCGAUGCCCUGAAGCGAGCACCACCUUCUCCGCCGCCAAUCCAACUAUGAUCGCAUUAUUGAAAAGUCAUUUAUCAAAGCGGAGCGGUCGAGAAGUACUAUUAGUGAUCAAAGGUUAGCAGAACGACGAGCUGAGAAAAAAAUUGCCCAGCUCGGCGAACAAGCGAACCAAUCGUGCCCCCCGCCCAAGGUGUCUAGCGAUAUCGUCGCUAAUCAUCCGGAGAUUUUGCCCAAUACCAAUCUUGGAUAUUACCUGCCCGACGAUGUACAUUAUGAUUUUGUGGAGGUGGACGAACACAAAUACCAUUACGGGAAGCCUCUCGUCAAAGAUGAAAGAUCUCUAACAACGAUGAUGCGAAGAUUCCAUGAUGGGUACAUGAAAACCUGCAGAGAGUCUGGGGGGAUGAAUACUUUGACGCUGAGAGUUAAAGAGGAGCAUGACCUCGUUGGAAUUGAAUUGUUGUCUGUUCCAUUUGAGGAGUUCUUCCAGUUUUUCAAUCAAAAGCCCCUCGAUAAAUUAACGGUCACUUGCUGCUGUCUGUAAGUACUACUUCCGUCAUUAAGUCUCUAUAUAUAGCUCAGCUCUUUCAUUGCAUGUAUAUAUAAUUACCCUCACUAUAUUAUGCAGAUUGAAGAUCGCCGAAUUGAAGAAAAGACAAAUCGGUAAUAUUGGGUUCAUUAACACAAAUCUCAUAGAUCAAUUUACGGUUGAAUUUCAAGCCAAAGAUACCGAGACCAACUUGCUACGAUCGUUGGUAAUAAAUCAAAACAAAGAUAUAAUACUCUUUCCUUACAACUUCAAGUGAGUGUUACUGUCUUGUGUAUAUUCGGUUUCCCUUAUUAGUCGAGGUUAUAGUAAUGUAAUUGAUGAGUUAUGCAUGCGUGCGCAGGUUCCACUAUAUUCUCCUAGAGAUUAAGUUUGAGCAGGGACUAGUAACCGUCUUAGAAUCGAGACGAAAAAAUCCCCAGGAGUAUGCGGACAUGACUGAAAUGCUCGAGAAGUAAGUUAAAUCGAUCAUUAUCGCACCAUAUCGGCAACUUUGUUCAUUUUCUGAUAUCAAGUAAUUGUUUUCUUUGUCUGGCAGGGUUUGGAAAAAAUUCACCUCAAAAGCUCCGGGACUGCCGAGGAAGCUGCGAUUUACACACCCGAAAGUAAGUACUACUAGCUAGUUCCGCGCAUCUCCUAGUGAUUCAAGCGCUAGUUUCAUCAAUACCAUUUAGCAUGCUUGCUUAUCAGUUUGAUUGACCUCUAUUUCUUGUAAAGUGGUUGUGGCAGGAAGCCGGGAAUGAUUACUGUGGAUACUACGUUUGCGAGUCCAUCCGCCACACGACCUGUGAGCGGGGCUACUCUAACAAACAAUAUGAAGUGCGUAAGCAAUAAUAUUCACAAUUUUAUUUUAUUACCAUCAUUUGUGUUGAGUUUCAUUCAUUCAUAUAUAUAUGUAUUGACCCCCUUCUUCAAAUUAGAUGUUCCGGAUGCGGGAUGAACUCCUAGCACCAGAUCGCAUGCGAGCAAUUCAAGAGGAAUUGGCGGCAUUCUUUCUUGACCACGUGAUCGAUAAAGACGGAGAAUACCAUGUGGACCCUGAGUUCAUAUAUAAUUAGGGGAUUAUAUUGUAAGAGAUCUUAUAUUGUAUAUAUGUAGUCAGUAGGGUAGGAUAGAUAUACGAAAACUUGUUGUUCGACCAAUCUCUCGGAGAAGGAGAGGUCGAUAUCACUUCUCUCUGUAUGCAUAUGUUCAUGACGAUCUUCUGUUUCCUUCAUUUGCUUACUAGCUAGCGUGUCGAGUCCUCUCUAUACGUAUAGUACGUAGCGUCGACCAAGCACGGAGAUAAGAGAGGACACUUCUCUCUAUUAAUUAGCUAGCUAACACAAUAUAUGAAACACCUAAAUUAACCCCCCAAAACCCCCUAAACCCACCCCCUUUCAAAAAAAACCUCAGCUCCUGCCAGCUGCUGACGCGUGGAUGCCUUUUUGUCCCGGUUGGUGCCACCAACCGGGACCAAAGGCCCUCCUGCCUGGGCUCACCGCAGCGGCCACGUGGAGGCCCAUCUGUCCCGGUUCGUAUAAGAACCUGGAGUAAAGGCCUAGGGCUCUAGUAACGAUCCUUUAGUCCCGGUUCCGCAAUCGGGACAGAUGGACCUUACGAACUGGGAUAAAUGGCCCUUUUUCUAUUAGUGUUACCAAGAAUCUUCGACAACCUAUACUCCGCAUGCUUGGCCUUCAUUAUGUUGCAUGCAAUAUUCUUCUCUAGACGCCCGCUACCUCGCCCAGAACAAAAGGCAACAUCCUUCUCCGCAUGCAAAGGUGCUGGGUUCCCAAGCAAACGGCAUGGGAUCACAUGAGUAACCUUGCUAAGAAAUUUCGUCAAAGAUAAUCGUGGAACAUCAACUAGUGCCGCCUCAGCAACCACACGGCUCGCCUCAACCUGUGACUCAACCUCAACGAUAGGAGUGCCGAAGGCCACCAUCGCUUGGAAAUUAACUGACUGUUCUCGCGGCCAUUCCUGAUUCUGAGUACAUGCAAGAAGGACAGAGGCUUACAUUCAAGACCACGAGCAUAUAUGUUCUUCGGCACCACACAAGGAGCAUGCGCUGCCGGCGCUCAUGUUUUGUUGGUGAUGCAUAUCCUCUGGCAGGAGGGAAACCCGUGCAAGACGCCACAAAAACAUGUGUAAUUUUGCCGGUACAUCCACCUUCCACGGGUUGUGCCACCCUGACUUCUCUCCUUGNNNNNNNNNNNNNNNNNNNNNNNNNNNNNNNNNNNNNNNNNNNNNNNNNNNNNNNNNNNNNNNNNNNNNNNNNNNNNNNNNNNNNNNNNNNNNNNNNNNNNNNNNNNNNNNNNNNNNNNNNNNNNNNNNNNNNNNNNNNNNNNNNNNNNNNNNNNNNNNNNNNNNNNNNNNNNNNNNNNNNNNNNNNNNNNNNNNNNNNNNNNNNNNNNNNNNNNNNNNNNNNNNNNNNNNNNNNNNNNNNNNNNNNNNNNNNNNNNNNNNNNNNNNNNNNNNNNNNNNNNNNNNNNNNNNNNNNNNNNNNNNNNNNNNNNNNNNNNNNNNNNNNNNNNNNNNNNNNNNNNNNNNNNNNNNNNNNNNNNNNNNNNNNNNNNNNNNNNNNNNNNNNNNAAAAAAAACUUCUCACCUUCAGAAUCAGACGAGUUUGGGCAUUCAUCUAGCCCAUCCUCCUGACGCUUCGUCGCGGCCAACUUGUGAUAUGCCGACCUAACAGAAAACUGACCAGAUCUUUCGAAGUUCCAUGGCUAAAAGGCUUGUCGAUGACUGGUGCAACGGGGAAUGUUGAAAUUCGUAUUGGCAUCCAUUGGCAAGAAAACCAGCUAGACUAGACUUAAUCCUCUGUCCCAUGUAGCGCUCGUCGGGUCGAUCAACUCACUUGCCAUCUGAGGAGGGUUUGUGAAGCAGCGAGAGCAAAGGCCUCAUGCGCUCGUCUCCAUGGAGCCAAUUUUGGUGCGCUCUUUUUCACGAUCGAGUAUUACAUCUGUGCUCAACAAUACUAGUCCGUAAACAGAACGUAGUACCGGCCAGGAAGGCAGGAAAGAAUGAAGGAAUGAAGGAACAAUAAUCUUGUACGCCCACGUCCCAAGUAGUAGGGCAUUUCCGGCGGCCUUCCCGUACCGAACCAGGACGGACGGACCGUCAGAUUCCGUUGCAGCGUACAUUCAUUCCAGACGGCGGGGAGCAGGCGACGCGACGCAACGCCGCGCCGGUGACGGCCGGCACGGAAACAUGCGGGAAACUUGGCUCCCUGCAAGCACUCCAGAGCCCGCUCUGCUCUUGUCUCGUCCAUUCCAUCUCCAUCGGCGAUCUGCCUGGCAUGGCAUUCACUGCCCAGUCCAUACCUCCCUCGUCGUGUAACAUCUCUGACCGCGGAUCGGGUAGCCAGCCGAGCUAGUACCACACGACAAACGCAAGAGGACACACACCGGCUGGGCCGUGCCAUGUGCUAUUUGUGUGUCUCUAUGCAUGUGCAUGUACUAGUUUAGAACACCACCUAGGGUCCCCUUAUAAGGUGGUCUGCACCUCUUAGGCCAACUCCACCGCGCGACCCUAAACGGACGUCCGUUUUGUCCGGAUUCUGUCCGUUUGGGUAGGGCAAUGGGGUCGUGUCCGGGCGUGUCUUGGGAUGCAGUGGCCGUGCGCCCAGUGCGCGGCCGCAUCUGUUUGCCCCAUCCUGUCCGUCAGGGCAAAAAAUGCUCAUAUUUUUAUCAAAACUAGUUUGCACGUCCAAAUAUUUAUCUAAAAAUUAAAAUAGUUUUACAACCCAAUUGAAAUUGUCCUUAAUAAAAUAGUUCUACAACCAAAUCGAAAUUGUCUUGACUGAACAUAAAAUGAAUCAAUACAUCUAUUGGUUGUCAAUGUGAUCCCACACGUGCUCAACCAAGUCAUUUUGAAGAUUCAAAUGAGUGUGCCAAUCACGCAUCUCACGGUGGAAUUGGACAAACUGUUCAAAUGUGGCCGGGUCUUGGUGCAGGGGCUCAAUAUUUUCACCUUCAUAAUCAAAUCCUUGGUCGAAGAUACUCUCAUCACGCUCGUCCUCGACGAUCAUGUUGUGCAUGAUCACACAAGCAGUCAUCACCUCCCAAAGCUUCCUUUCAUCCCAUGACAGUGCAGGGUUUCGAACGAUACCCAACCGGGAUUGAAGCACACGAAAAAGCACGUUCCACAUCCUUUCUAGCACUCUCUUGCAUUUGGGCAAAUCUCUUUCUCUUCUCAUCUUGGGGUUUCGAGAUUGUCUUCACAAAAGUUGACCACUGAGGAUAUAUACCAUCAGCUAGAUAGUAUCCCUUGUUGUACUGGUGGCCGUUUUCGAGAUUGUCUUCGCAAAGACGGCGACGGUCAAACCUCCUCCGAUCGACGGCCAAAACUACGGCGAAAGCGCGGGCGUGGUGGCGGCCAUGUCGAGACGUGGUUUGGUAUGGACGGCCGGGGGCUGCGCGGUAAGGAGGCGGCCGGAGAAUAGCGGCGGCUNNNNNNNNNNNNNNNNNNNNNNNNNNNNNNNNNNNNNNNNNNNNNNNNNNNNNNNNNNNNNNNNNNNNNNNNNNNNNNNNNNNNNNNNNNNNNNNNNNNNNNNNNNNNNNNNNNNNNNNNNNNNNNNNNNNNNNNNNNNNNNNNNNNNNNNNNNNNNNNNNNNNNNNNNNNNNNNNNNNNNNNNNNNNNNNNNNNNNNNNNNNNNNNNNNNNNNNNNNNNNNNNNNNNNNNNNNNNNNNNNNNNNNNNNNNNNNNNNNNNNNNNNNNNNNNNNNNNNNNNNNNNNNNNNNNNNNNNNNNNNNNNNNNNNNNNNNNNNNNNNNNNNNNNNNNNNNNNNNNNNNNNNNNNNNNNNNNNNNNNNNNNNNNNNNNNNNNNNNNNNNNNNNNNNNNNNNUUUGAGGCCGCGUGUUGAGGCGCGCUAUUCGUCCGUUUUACCCCAAAACCGACGCAUCCGGACAAGAUAGGGUCCCGCGGUGAAGCUGGCCUUAGCCUCAACGGGUGGGACUAAAAUUUGUGCAUUACUUUCAGAUCUCACAAUAUUAUAUGAUGGCCCUAUACCAAGACACAUGAGUUGGACCUGAGUGCAUCCCAGCCCAUCAUAUGACACUAUCAACAUGUGGCCGCAUGUGACCCAACCCAGGACGACCUGUGUUGAGACAAAUGACACCAUUCUUCCUUUGCAUGUGUUAUAUAUGACUAGUUCCAUUGCCUAAAAAAAAGAUCUUCUGAUCAAAUUAAAAAAUCAAAAUUCUACAACUAGUUCUAGCCACCAAUUAUUGUACUCCCUCAUUCCCAAAAUUUAAGGCACACUUAGAUGUUUUCUAGUCUUCACCUCACAACUUUGACUAUGGGCAUGUUCGGAUCUUCUCACUCACCACCGAUUGAAAAAGCUGGAGUACACCAUAUUUACAAUAUCCUGUCACCGCUAAAGAUACCAGUUCACUGGUGAUGCUCGAAAAAUAGAACCUAUCGCUACAGGAGCGACCCCCAUUGCCUCGCUGUGCACUUAUUGGCCCUAAUUGGGUUGCUUCCAGCCGGCACAGUCUACAUCGAACAAGACCACAACCCUCUACGUAGGGUUGUAGCGUUGGACAAGCUGCCGAACACAUUUGAGAUAUGUGAAGUUUUGUAAAGCUAGAGGACAUCCGAAAACACCCUAUGAUCCUCAUUUAUUAUAUGUCUACAACAUUAGAACAAAGACAUGAAAUAAAAUUGUUUUGCAAGGCAAAUACGAUGAUACCAUAUGUACACCUUCAAUCCAUGUACAUCAAAGACCACGCAAAGUUGAGUGCGCCCUACAUUUUGUGAAGGUGAGAGUGACUAACAUUCCUAUAGUUAUCAAUAAUCUUGGUUUGGCCACGCUUCAUUAAAAAGCACAAAAAGAAGAAGUUCCACACGGUGGCAUGGAAAGCAAUUUCUUCUUAGUUUGUCUAACAUUACUGCCUACAAUAGGAAGUCCUUAUAUUGUUAGCUACCAUGACUAUCAAGUUAUCUAGAUUCACCAUCAAAUUGCCUACCAUAACUAGCAAUAGCAGAUAACAGAGGAUUAACUGUAGACAACUUCAUAGUAUUAUAGGCAAAUUAAAAACAACAACAUUCGACCAAAAACAGUAGGCAACUUAAAAGCACCGGCGAGCAAGUUAGAAGAAUGCCAGGUAGAAUUAACUAGAACAAAAAAAUUGGUGAAGUUGGCUAUUUUUAGCACUAAAGUUGCCUCCAGUAGAACGAAAAAUGCUUAUGAAGGUGAUGUGAUAUCAUCUACCUCUCGAAGUUGUUCACUAUUAAUAGUGAGUUGCUGCAAAUAAAUGCACGUACUUUUUCUUUCUUAACUGAUUAAUGUAAAAUAAGGAGCGUUUGGAUACAGCGGCGAGUAGUCGUGUCUUUGUACAGUACGUACGAGGUACAGCGCGCGCGCUCUCUGGUCUAUUAACACAUCUCGACCUGACACGAACUCGGCCGGGAUACGAGCUAGCAGGAUUUGCAUGUCUCGAUCUGUCCUAGCCAGGGGAAUAAAAUGGUGGAUCCAUCUUUCUUCGACUACAGGAACAAGUCAGCAACAAGCUCCAUGUUUUUUUCCGUUUGAAAAGCCAUACGUGUACACACAGACUUAUUCCACUCCGUGACAGCAUUACGUGGUGCUACUCCCGUUCCGACUUUGAGGCGGAUUAAAGAUCUCGGUUAUCCUUUUCAGCCGAAUCAAAUUACACCACUUCAUGACAUGCAUGAGAUCGACGUCCAAGUACGUACCUACUACUGUAUUAUCCUGUAGGAACAUUACGUACUCCUGUUCCAACUUUUGAGGAUUAAUUAUACUCUCGAACCAAAUCGAUCACACACGUCAUGGACCACUCCUCCUCUCUCGUCCCGUCACGCCGUACUAGCCAGUAGCACAGUACACCUUGCCCAUACGCCAUACCCGUUAUCCGUGUAUAUAUACGCCAUUGCUCAUCGCUCUCUUCCAUUGUCUCUCCAUCCCAUCUUGACCAAACCUCCCUCUGAAAUCAAUGCGCCGAAGAAUGCGGUGCAGAGGAGCAACUGCCCUCCUCCUCCUCGUCUUCUUCCUCUUCGCCGCCGGCGUCUUGUUGGCCGUCGACGGGUCGAGAUCAGGCAUCGUCGACUUCGCCGGCAACAGGUGGCCGCCGAUGGGCGGCGGCGGCGGCUACGAGCUGCCGCGCGCCAGGCUCAUCCCGCCCUCCGGCCCGUCCGAGGGGCACAACUCCGUCGGCCCGGACGAGCAGCAGCUGGCGCUCGAGAAGCCAUGAUAGUGGUCAGCUGCAUGCUGCUGCCUGUCUAGCUCUGUCGUCGAGGUUACUUACUUGUGCACUCACGUGCCUGAUGGCCAUUAGAGUUUGUCGCUUUUUUUUUGCUCGACAUUUUCUUCCUCUUUGUGUACAUUCCACGGUAUACCACUGUUAGAUUAGAUCUUACAUACGUACUCCAGCUCGGUUUGGCAUGACAGUUAAGCCAGGAAUCAUCGACUAGCUAAUGGAAAGAGCCUGCAUUUGCGUUGCGUGUCGUUGAUUAAAUGCUUUGCACGUUUAUCCAUCAUCGACUAAACUCAUUCUCAUUCCGAGACUCCCUACUCUUUUCGAAAUUGAAAGUGAUGGACUGUGCCCGUCAAAAAUAGAAGUGAUGAGCUGUCAGCUUUCAGUCAGGGUGUGUCAUGUGUGUGUGCGUGCGUGCAGCAAAAGUUUGGCAGAGCGAGUGAAUCUUCGGCCGUCUGUCAUUUCCCGCCAUUAUUGCUGCCAACGUACUAUGUAGUAUAGCUACAUUGCCCGUACCCCGCCUUCUUUUACCUACUUACUACUUCUUUCUACAUUCACAUAUAUACCAAGUUGCAGAUUGCCAGCAGCAAAGUUACCCCAAAACACAAGUCUAGUCACGUUCUCUCAGAAAAGCUCAUGUAAAUCAAGUGUACUUUUUUCACAUGACAAUGCACUCAUAUGUGAAAGAACAAGUCGAUUAAGCAGAGCAUGUAUUAGUACUGAAGAUCUGGAGUUAAAAGCACCAGGAGUCCUACAAGUUGCACCGAAUGUGAUGGUUUGAUCCUAGAACUUACAUUUUGACCCUACCCAGUCCUAGAACUUGCAUCAAAUGUGCAAAUUUGGUCCUGACGAAUCACAUAGCGCCAUGUGGACGUGUGGGUGCCGACCCGGUCAGCACGCGGCAUUUUGCAAAGAGGCCCCUGCCUUUCGUUUGAAUCAAGUUGCGCCCGCACGCUGUAUUGAUUGCAUUUGUAGAACAGUAGCACAAGCAUAAAAUUGGAAUCAUUUGUUGUUUUGAACUUAGUAGGUUUCUAGAGUGGUAACGGGAAGCUAUGCGGAUAGGGGAGAUAUCUGAUGGUGUGUCAUUUGGCAGACCGCUAACGUGACGGCAUAGCUACCGAGGAGCAGCAUGCAGCGGUCAGAGUGAGUAGCUUCAGUAUCUCGUAUAUCUAAUUUUUUUUGCAUGCGAACUAAUUAAAUAAUGUUUCCCUGAAUAUGCUUCAGAUUGACAGCUAGCGAGGAGCAGCACGAAGAUCCGUCCCUGCGAAAAAGAGGCUCACAAUUUGUUAGGUGAGCCGAGUGAGCCGAGAAUACCAUUUUCUUGUUCUUCGCACAACUUCACCACGGAUCAUCAAAUCUCUCGAAAAUGAUACGAUCGAAUGGUUCUUGCCAUGGGAACUUUCAUCACAAUGCAUAUCUUUUGAAAAUGAGUGUUGCCAUGGCAAUUACCCCCUCCGUCCGAAAAUACUUGUUAAAGAAAUGGAUAAAAAUGGACAUGUCUAGAAUUGAAAUACGUCUAUAUACAUCUAUUUCUUCGACAAGUAUUUCCGGACAAAGGGAGUAUAUGUUACAAGAUAGGUCUUGAAACGAAUUUUUCCAUUGCAACUAUUAUUAGAGGCAUAUGUUUCAAAAAUUAAUAUUUCCAUGGCAACUGUUUAUUACUUUGUAUAUGUUUUCAAAAUGAAAUUUUGCCAUCGAUACUUCACAUAUGUUUUAUAAAUGAAUGUUUGCCAAGAUGCGGAUUUUGUGAACAUGGUUCCAUACGUGCCCUUUAUUGAAUAGUAUGUCCAGAAGAAACAAAACUAGAAAAAAACAAAAAAACACUUUUUUUGUAAUAUGUAUAGUCAACCGGUAUACUCGCGUAUGACGUUUCACCAAUAAAUUAGAACGGUGGUAAUCUAGGCAAAAAGAGAAAAUCGAAGCUAUAUAAAAAAACAUUGUUUUAUUUACCCCAAAAAGACACUGUUGAUGAAUAGUAUUGUCCCAAUUGUAUUUUCUUCACCAACAAUACCAUGGGAUUUAAUACUUUGCUUAACUUCACACAUGAGUUGAAUAGUCGACUAGGUUUGCUACAUCACAAUUUUCGAUUUUUUACAAUGUUCUAUUAUUUUUGUGAAAAUUACUAUUCACCUGUGUGUGUGUAACCAUGUUCACCUUUGUAUUGUACAAUGACAAUUUUUCGUGUGUAGUUAUUUUUUUUCUAUUUGACCAUGGAAAAUUUAUUGUGUACACCAUGGAAACUUAAAAUUUGAUGCCAUGUCAGCUUAAAUUAUGUCGCCAUGGCAAAGCAAUACAAAUGUUUUUUUGGUGUGUAUCCAUACGUAUGAAGUUCCUAUACAUGUGAUACAUUUUGAAUUUAGAAUCACAUCCACUUUUAUAUGUUAUCCCUAAAAUUUUGCAAUCAUGUAUGCGUGAUGGGUUUAUUAUUUAUAGUAUGGUGAAUUCAUCAAUUAACGCAUGCCAAUUUUGUUAUUUAGAGCAUGACAACUUACAUGUGUUAACUACGUACGUGAAACCAUAGAUAUGCAGUACUUGUACUUUUUUGUAACAUGGGAGCUAUUUGGUGUUAGAUAUAUAUAAAUGUAUGAAAUGAGUUUUACAUGUUUUGUGGCAAUAUUUAUCAUUUAGACAUGACAAUUUUUGUGGCAGUUUAUUUAUUUUAGAGCAUAGCUAAAAAAAGUUGUGUUAGAGAGAUAUAAAUAUAUGAAAAAAGUAUAUGUUUGUGGCAAAUUUUAUCAUAUAGACAUGUCUAUUUCUAUUUUUUCCAUGCAUAUGUAUUUUGAAAUCCUGACUAUGUGGUACUUUUAUUUUUAAAAGGGCGACGAUUUUGUAGCUAAUUAAGUCAAAUGCAAAAUAUCAGCUUUUGAAGACCUGGUACUUAUGAUGCUCAAGUUACGCCUCUUUUGGCCCAUUUUAGGGAGAGGAUUGGAUUUGGGGUCGCGCUGGGAGAUAUUCGAGCUUGAACAAAAGCGUAUUUGCGUCUAAUGAUAAUUAUUUACUACUAACUCUAUCUGGGUUUAUUAGCACCCUCUCAUAUUUUGGGUCAAUAUUUGAAUACAGAUUUAGCUAGGAAGAUAUAAUUUACAUGUAAUAAAAAAUAAUAUCAUCGAAAACUACUUUAAAUAUGAAUCUAUGAAUAUAAUUUUUAUGGCAUAUAAUUUAUGUUUCGUAAUAAAAUUUAAGGUCAAAGUUUAGUAGUUCGUGUUGUAGUGUAUCAGUGUGCGUGACAGAUCGGUGGGUCCCCGCAAAAAAAAGACAGAUCAGUGGGGUUACUGUGAUUGUAACCAUGUGUCUCAGCCCAGCACGCGUAGUUGAGUAUUAAAAUAUUGGAUAGAACUGUAUUAACCAAGCCUUGCUAAUUACUCCUACUAGUAGUAGGUGUCAUGAGUGGUGGGUCGCACGUAGGCCACAUGACCACGGAUCCGUCAUGUGCCAAACGGACGUUUGCUGUUGCAGUGGGUCCCCCAGCACACUAUAUGGCUCAAAAUACGUUUCUUCCUACCUUCUAUACACCUGACAAUACCUGUCAUGGCUCUCAUCCCAGUACGAUGAUAUGGUUGCUGAUAACGAGAGCGGGCGAGCUAGUCCGCUCCUCUAAAUUUCCGCAUUUUUUAGUGUAUCAUUGAUGCACAUCUAUUAAGGUAACCAUGUCAUUCACUCUUUGCAGCAACUACAAUGUGGCACACCACGCAGUGAGCAGAGAAGUGACUAACGUUUACUAAGUGACAGUUAUGGGCCGAAAAGAAACUUACCAUAGAAGCAACCUGUAGUGCGGGUUGAUUCAGACGAAAGGCAAGGGCCUCUUUGCAAAAUGCCGCGCGCUGACCGGGUCGGCACCCACGCGUCCACAUGGCGCUAUGUGAUUUGUCAGGACCAAAUUUGCAUAUUUGAUGCAAGUUCUGGGACUGGGUAGGGUCAAAAUGCAAGUUUUAGAACCAAAUCAUCACAUUCGGUACAAGUUGUAGGACUCAUGGUGCUUUUAACUCGAAGAUCUGCCUGCAGGAGGUGGCGAUGCUAAUAAUUGGCAAGGGGAAAAAGCAGGUGGCGACCGAUAAUGCAUGGAUGCGAUGGCAAAGAGCAGUAUCCAUCUAUCUACUACUGAAGUACUGAUGACGAUGCUGCUACAUAUAGAGCGCUGUAGCAUGCAUCGGUCAGGCAGGUCAUGGGCGCCGGCCGGCUGGCCCUUUGCAUGCUUGCUUGACUAGAGAACUCAAGUCGCGUACUAUGCUACUACCACUGGUCUACUAGCUACACAAACAUUAUAUGGGAAAGAAGAGAUCGUCGAUAAACAGGAUGUACAUGUCGUGAUGUACUCUACUGUAGUACAGCUCACUGACGAGAGAGAUCGGGGAUGGAUGCGUACGUGGUCGAUGAGUGUGAUUGAUACGCACGUGUACGUGUGGUGUGGUGUGGGAAAAGAAAAGACUUGUCACACGGUACGCACGUACAUGUGGGAAAAGAGAAGUGCACGUUCGGGUGUGAUCCAAUUGUAGCACGACUUCAUUUUUCGUACCAAGCCCGACUUUUGCAGCAAAGUUCUUCUCACCUCGCGGCAAUCUGAAACCCCACAAUGUAAUGUUCCGGAUAAUGAAUAUUUCAGUUUUUUAAGACCAUGGUUUUUCUCGUUUUGGUUCAGAAAAAAAAAA
rnacentral:lncRNA from 1 species